GGUGAUCGUGCUCCCCGCGGGCCACCCGGCGACGUUCGUGGCCGGGAACGAGGGGAACCUCGCCCUGCUGUCCUUCGGCGUGGGCGCCAACAACGACGAGGAGGUGUUCGUGACCGGCGGGAACAGCGUGCUGAAGCAGCUGGACGAGGCGGCCAAGGCGCUGGCGUUCCCCCAGCAGGCGAGGGAGCUGGCGGACAGGGUCAUCCGCGCGCAGCCGGAGUCCGUGUUCGUCCCCGGCCCGCAGCAGCAGCGCCGCGUCGCCGACAUGUGAGCGACGAUCUCCAGCGCGCGCAUGCGGUCCCUGGAGCUGCAUGCAUGCAUGAGUGUACAUGUGAGUGUGACGGGAAUAAAUAGCUAGCACGGUACUGCGUACUACAGUACGUGCGUGUAGCAGAGGAGAGGAGAGGAGAGACGAUGCUUGUGUUCGUGCGCGGUUAUGCAUGAAUGCAUGCAUGCACGUGAGUUUUCUAUGCAUGUAGUAGUACGUGAGUUUUCCGGUAAUAAAAGACGUGACCUUGCCCGUCGGCUCGUUGGAACAUGUCGGUGAAAAUUGCACUUUUACUCCUACAGUGACGUGUCAGUGUCACAUAGACCGAUCGAUCGAGUAACAGACAAAAACAAGACUUGUCAUGUACCGGAACGGAAGAACCGGAGCACAGGCCAAGCGAUCGACCUGAGUCACGCUCCUCUCGCCAGCCACUUUCCUGCCGGAGUCAGGACAGUUACUAGUAGGACGAGCGAAGCACGGGGAGUGACCACCAGCAGAGCAGUUCACAGACAGCAAGCAAGCGCGAGGAUCGAUCGAUCGGAGCGGCGGCGAUGGACGACGACUUCGGCUGCGUGAUCGGCGUCGCGGGGAGGGGGGAAUUCGCGGUGGUGGCGUCGGGAACCCCCAUCGUGCACCUCGACUCCCACAGGCUUCUCGCCAUCUCCGGCAACCAGCAGAACCGGUAACCACCGAGCUAGAUCCAAUCCACCUCCACCCGCCUCGCUCGAUCCCGGCCACCUUCCAUGGCUUCUGACCUCAGCUUCCCGCCCGUGUUUUGCUUUGGCAUGCAGCGCAAGGUUCGCGAGGACGAUGUGCCGCAGGUGGAAGGGGCUGACCGGGGUGCCGUACCCCGACACCGCCACGGUCGCCGACCUCGCGCGCGAGCUGCUCGACCGCGGCCACUCCGUCGAGGCCCUGGUCGUGGGCUACAACCAGGCCCAGCCCCACGCGGCGGUGAGCUGCGUCGGCCCCGCGCUCCCGCGCGGCCAGUUCCUGUUCGGGGCCGCGGGCCGGGGAGCGGAGGCCUGCAGGGCGGUGCUGCGCCGGGGCUACCGCGACACCAUGUCGUCCAGCGACGUGAUCGAGCUCGUGGAGAGCUGCAUCGCGGAGAUCCGCCGGCUCGGGGUUCCCGGGGCUGCCGGCGAGUUUGCGGUCCAGUAUGUCGACAGAUGGGGAGCGGCGCCCGUGGGAAGGGAGGUCAGGGAGACAAUGGCUAUCUAUCGACAGAUGGCACUCGAAGUGUUAAAAUCACAUGGGUUAGCCCUCAACCCCAUUCUCCGUGAAGAUCACAUCGCUUGUGUGUUUGAUCGAGAUUGACGUCCCGCCCCCUUUUGAUUCAGGGCAAUUGACGCCCUCUAAAUCCUGAUCGGUACUAGAGUACUUAUAGGCAAAGGAUGACUGACUCGGCUAAGAGCAUCUCCAAUGGAUCCGAAAAUCUUCCCCACUAAGAGCAUCUCUAGCAGACGCGCUUCGCUUUGGCGAGGUAUAAUUCUUUUACAGCGCCAAAAUAGUCUUUUUACGCGCGGGAGCGACGAAAAGGUUUUCCAUAUGCACAAAAACACAAAAACACGGCGCCCAGUCCGGCGGCCCCACCUGCAGCAGCCCAGAUUUUGCAGUGCGCACAAUCCAUGGCCCAAAAUUUACAGCCAGGGAUACCGCUUUUAGCAUGUGCGCUAAAGUUUUUGUGCGUGCUCGCAGCCCAAAAUUUGCAGCCCGGGAUACUGCUUUUAGCACGUGCAUUAAAGUUUUUUGUGCAUGCUCUAUUUUACAGCAUCUGCUGAAGCGCUGUUUUUUUGUAAUGGUUACAGGGGCUACCCAAAUACCUGCUUUCAGGUUAUUUGGAGAUGGUUGUUUUUGCAGACCCCAAUAACCCCAUCCCGCAUCCCAAUACCCAACUUGACAUAUGUGCNNNNNNNNNNNNNNNNNNNNNNNNNNNNNNNNNNNNNNNNNNNNNNNNNNNNNNNNNNNNNNNNNNNNNNNNNNNNNNNNNNNNNNNNNNNNNNNNNNNNNNNNNNNNNNNNNNNNNNNNNNNNNNNNNNNNNNNNNNNNNNNNNNNNNNNNNNNNNNNNNNNNNNNNNNNNNNNNNNNNNNNNNNNNNNNNNNNNNNNNNNNNNNNNNNNNNNNNNNNNNNNNNNNNNNNNNNNNNNNNNNNNNNNNNNNNNNNNNNNNNNNNNNNNNNNNNNNNNNNNNNNNNNNNNNNNNNNNNNNNNNNNNNNNNNNNNNNNNNNNNNNUGCAAUGCAGUCAACGACAAUGGUGCUUUGCGGGUGGGCGCGGCGGUGCGUGGCCAACAUCAGUUGGUGGCGGCAGUGAGGGUGGGGGUGGCACUGUGGUCAGCGGUGGUUGACGAUAGGUGUGGUGGUCGUCAAUGGCAUGGGCAUCAUCAGGUGGGAGGGUGAUUUGUGUGGGCUCCAUGGGAUUGGAGGAGGUGUUGGCGGAGACAUGGGCGGAGAUCUAGGGAUUAAGUCAACUGUUUGGAACCUUCAAAAUUACGAUGUUUGUUUUUUGGAUUGGUAUUUAUAGUUCUUUACUAAAUUGAUACAACGUUUGUUUUUGGAAUGCUAAUUAUGAUGAUUUGAUUGAUUGAUACAAUGUUCAUUUUAUGGAAUGCUAAUUACGAUGCUUUAUUUGCUAAUCACAUCAUUUUCAAGCAAAUAUAGGCCAUCAGAUCUAAGAUAAUGAAGGGCUGAUAUUCAAUGUUUCUACCACAACUAGCUUGUUUAAUAGUAGUGGAGACUAGAUGAACAUUUUUUUAAUAACACACUGAACAUUUGUUUAUGUGUACGAGCAAAUUUGUAAAUGGAUUGAGAAUUAGUUAUUUUUUUGUCAGUCCCACUUAAAAUAAAUUUUCAGAAAAGUGGAAUUUACUUUGUAUUUUCACAAGUAAAGUGGGCGCGAACUUCCUAUAGAAGAUUGGAUUAGACUUAAUUUUUUUGAGAGUUGCAUAGGAAAGGGUGGACAAUAUAUUAGAUUCGUUUGUAAGAGAAAACAUUAUGUAGGUGGUGGAACAAUUUUAAGUAACUGCUACCUUUUCCAUGUCCUCUUCGAACAUUUUUUUGCAUGAUACCUUAGGGCGUCAGAAAAAAUUGGUAUGUUCUCUCUCUAAAUAGAUUCAUAUGUACAUGACUCGAUUUUUGCAAGUUGAAUAUAGAUUAUCACUUGGUUAAUCAAUCCAUGGUGUGUUUGCCCAACAACCUAGGAGGGUUGGGCAUUAGAGAUCUAGACAUCAUGAAAACCAUCUUACUUUCUAAGUGUUGGUAGAAAGUGUUCCAUGUAGAUGGUAUGUAGCAACAUUCCUUAGAUGAUAACCCAACACAUCAUACUCUAGAAUAGCUGAAAACUGGAGUGGGCAACCCACACUUUUUAUAAAGGUUGAUGCAGGUAGUCUUCAUUUGGUUUUGUUUGUAGGGUCAAAGUUGGGAAUAGUGGCAAACUAAAUUUUGGAAAGAUCGAUGGUUCUUUGAUGACCAUUUUUACACUAUCUUCCCAUACUGUACACAAUCUUCUUAGAUCCCUAUAUUACUGUUAAAAAAGUUUUUGCAUGUUAUUCUUUAUCCCUUAGGUUUUAGAGGGUGGAAGUAAGAAUUUAAAGAGAGUAAUGGUUUGGCUUAAGGAUCAUGGAAAAAAUGUCUCUAAAUAAAAAUCCCCACGAUUAGUUUGGCUAUUGUCAGAUUCGUGAAACUUUUGUGUUUUGUUGCACAAAGGUGCUAAAUCUGAGAGAGAGUGUCUCUUCUAUGGGAGUAAUGAACCAAUAACAUUAGCCGAUCUUUCAAUCUUGAUUGGAGGAGCACUAAGGCAAGUAUUUUAACUAGGAUAACUCUUCAACUUAUUGAAGUGAUAUUGUGCAAAAGCAAAGCAUAGCUUCAUAUUAUCCUAUUUUAGUGAAUGUCAACAUUGAAAUUAAAUUUUGAUAAAGUGGGAUUGUUGUGUGAGCAACCUAACUAUAGAUUUGUUGAAUUUGAGGGUUUCAAAAGUCACAGACUUCCUACAAAAUACUUAUGUAUACCUUAAGAUGAGAAAGUUAUUAUACUUAUGUAAUGGAUGGCUGCAAGGAAAAGGUAGAAAGUAGAUUAGGUAUUAGCCCCCCAUGCAAAAAAUAUUAGGUGUUAGGAAAGGGAAGACACUAUCCAUUGGUGGCGGAACAGUUGAAUUAAUUCCUCCCUUUAUAAUGUCCCUUUGAAGGUGCUCCCUUUUUACAAGAUACCUCAUGGUGCCAGGAAAAAAAUCAUUACGUACAAGGUUGCAUUUAUGUGGAGAGCUGACAUGUUGAAAAUGAAAUAUUAAAUCGGCCCAUGGUCUAUCUGCCCAAGGACUAAGGAGGGUUGGCAUUUUAGAUUUGGACAUAAUGAAUAUGGCUUUAUUUUCUAAGUAGCUUUAGAAAUGGUUCAACAGAGGUGGUAUGUGACAACAAUUCCUUACUACAAAAUACCUCACACAUUAGACUCUAGGAUAGUGAAAAUGGGAGUGGGAAACACACAAUUUUGUUAGGAGCUAUGGUGUUGGGCCAGAGUUGGGAAUACUGUCAAACUUGAUUCUAGGAAGAUCAAUGGUUCUCUAAGGAUAACUUUUACACUAGCUUCCAUUCUAUUAAUGUUUUAAAAGUUAUUACAUGUGAUUUUAAAUCUCUCAAUUUUUGGAGAGCAGUAGUAGAAGUUAAAAUAGAAUAAUGGUUAUACUUAUGGACCGUCUGUAAAAAAAUGCUUCUCCAAAUUGACAUCCACACAAAUUUGUCUGAUUGCUAAGUUCAGGAAACUUUAGUGUUUUGUUGUAGGAGGUGGUAAAUCUGAGAGGAAAUGCAUCUUGUAAUGAACCAAUAACCACCUGCCAUUUUCCUCCCCCCACCAAUACACAACACACAUAUGGAUAUCAUUAGCUGCUCUUUGAAUCUCGAUUGGAAGAGCACUUAGGCAAGGAUUGCUAACUAGGCUAAUUCUUCCAUUGAUUGACGUGAUAUUGGGAAAGACAAAACUCUCAACUUCCUAUUGUGCCUAUUUUAAUAAUCUCAACAUUGAACAUAAUGUAUAUUAAGGGGAAUUUACUGUGUCAUGUGACCAACUUUAGAUUUAUUGAAUUUGAGAAUAUUCAGAAUGGGCAAACUUCCUAUGAGAAAAUGGUUAUACUUAACUAUUGUAGAGCUGUGAGGAAAAUGUGGUAAGUAGAUUAGGUUCUUGGCAAGGAAAGAAAAUGUCCAUUGGUGGUACAAAAACUUCAAUUAAUUCCUCCCUUCCUAGUGUCACUUUGAAUGUGAUAUCUGUUUACAAGAUAUCUAAGGGUCUCAAGACGAAAGACUGAUAUAUACAACGCUAGAUUUCUAUGGAAUCGUGACAAGUUGAAAAGGAAAUAUCACUUGGUUAAUUAGCCUAUGUUUUGUCUGCCCGAGGACCAAGGAGGGUUGGGCAUUUUACAUCUGGACAUUCCUUUACUUUCUAAGUAGCUGUAGAAACUUUCUAAUUUAGAUGGCAUGUGCCAACAUUUCCAUACUAAGAAAUACCUCACACAUCAUACCCUGGGACAAGUGAAAGUCAAAAUGGAAAAUUCACACUUUUGGCACAAGUGUAUGGAGGCUAAAUCCUGGAUUAGGGUUGUUGGAUGGUCAAAGUUGGGAUUGUGGCAAGACUAGAUUCUGGGAAGAUCAAUAGUUAAUGAUUCUUUGGUCAUAGUUUUUCCACUAUAUUUCCUAGACUACAUAUAAUCUCCCUUGACUUCAUAUCACUAUUGAAAAAAAUAUCUUAUGGUUCUAACUUCUAUAGAUUUCAAUGUGCUGGUAGGUAUUAAAAGAGUACAAUGGUUAGGCUCAAUGACUGUGUAUGAAAAUGUUUCUCUAGAUGGAGAGUCUGGAAUAUUAGUUUGGAUGCUCUUCGAUGUUGUCAGGUUCCGGAAACUUUAGUGUGACAUAUUUCUAUUAUGGCAUGGGAAAACAUUGGGUGAUGCCUUACAAUUUUUUGUGGAGAGUAAAAAAAUCCUCUGUGUAUCAAACUUUCCCAUGGCUGAUGCUUAAAAGAUCAUAUUGAGUAGAGAUGUUUUUUACACGAUGGUACUAAAUCUUAGAUAAUAUGCCAUAUAUGUUGGAGCAGUAAACCAAUAAACCACAUAUUGUGUUCCUAUCUACCGAACAUAUAUGUAUGGGAUAUCAUCAACAGAGGUUCGCAUGCAAUGAUGAAUGCAUUAAUAGACAUGCUAGUGGUUAGAAUAGCAAUUAUGUUUUGGAUUACUCAGAAGGUUAAGUAUAUUACAUGUAAUACAAAAAAUGUCUAAUCAAGCCAAUGAAUUAAUGUUUUGUUGAAUAUUUUCUUUUGGAUUGAUUGGUGGAUCUCUCUGCAGUGAAGGAGGAUCUAGUGGAUCAGCUUAGCUAUUGUGUAAAGCUAAUUGAACGCAUCGCAGUUGGCAUCUUCAAAACUGGGGGGGGGGAGCUGGGCAUCAUGGAUCCCAAGUAUGGUCAUGUAAUUUCCUUGAGCAACAAUGGAGGUGAUGGUGUUAUUGGCAGUGCUUAUUUAGUCGUUGUUAUAUUUUAAUCCGCACCUUCGUCGUGUAUUUGGUUCAUGGUUGAAACCUUGAGUGUUGUUCUGUUGUGUCGUGAUGAAAAACCUGUAGAACAUUCAGGUUUCCAUUGAUGGUAACUGGCGAACAACUUUUAUCUAAAGUAAAACUUAUGUUAGUAAACCACUUAUCUUGUUUGGUUCUCUUAAAAUUCAACCCUGAUUGCAAAUAACAAGUCGAAUAAUAAGAAAUGUAUCUGUAUUUUAGUUAUUCACUUGUUGCUAUUUCUCAUGUGGCGAUUGUUUUGGUGUCAUCAUAAUUUAUGUACAAUCUUACACUUGGUGGACCUGAUGAUGGGAAGCGAGGUCGAGAGCCAUCAUGGACGUAGUAGAGGCUAACACAAUGUUGUCCAUGUCUAUACGCAAUGCUGACAGAGGGGUAAAUAUUGAGGAGAUAUGGCUAGAGUGAUUGGGAUUAUGGGUGAAAAUCUUGGGGUUAAGAUUUAUGGGUGGUGUGGUCGUCAUCAUAGCAAAAGGGCCAUUGUUUCCUAUAAGAGGAGUGACGGCCGAUGGUGGUGGUGGAGCAUUGACAAUAUUAGGAUGGAGGAGAAAUAAUAAGCACAUCAUUAUAAAGUUGGAGAAAGAGAAUGGAACAGGGUCGGCGCUCCUCAGUCCAGAGCGAGAGGGCAAAGGGUGCUCUCGUGUGACGUUAUGGUGGAGUUGUUGCGGCGAAGUCCGAUGGUGACAGCUAGGUGGUGUAGGUUCAUGGGUCACCGAUAAAACUGAGAAUGGUUUUAUCUAAACCGGGUGUGUUGGGUCAGUUUUGCCUCAUAGUUUUGUUUGGUUCGGGUGUAAUGGGCCCGUUCGACAACAGGUUGGUUUAAGUUGGUUUCUUGUACAAAACAGUUGGAUAUGGUCAGUUACGGGCACGAACCGGUCUGAUUCCACCUUAGUUAAGCCUACUUUCUCACCCGGUUGGGAAACUGAUUUGUAGGUAUCUCUCCCUAGAUAGCCCUUAAAGCAACCACAAGAUGAUAGGCCAUGGCUCUCACGACCGCGGCCAACGGCGUGUGAGCACGCGGUGGCUGCUGCAAGGAUCAGCCUGCUCCAGCAACGUCCGCGACCUCCGCACCCAAAUCCGGCAUCCCAUGCGACCGCCGCGCCUGGAUCCGGUCUCCUCUGACUCUUCCCUGUGGUAAGCGCAUGGGGAAGCCAGCUCUCACAACCGUGCUAGUCGUUGUGUAGGCGGCGGCUGACGCCCUGGUCUCCGUGCUUCGGCUACCUCAGCGGCCGACGAGCCCGGACCUGGCUCCCGCGUCGAUUUCUCUAUCCUCUCCCCAGGCCUGCUGCUCUUGGAUGGCCCUCUUGCAUCGUCCCCCGCGACGGAUGGGCCCAUGCUACCGCCGGCCGGCCCUCCCUUCCCCGACUUCUACAACCACUACCUCGGUUGGAUCCGGGCGACUCGCCUCUCGCUGAGCGCCAGCCCCAACGAUGCACUAGGUUUAGUUCGGCUUGGGUGUAAAGAUUGAGUGGUUUGGUUUUGGUUGGGCCGAUGAAAAUAUAGUAUGGUUUAGUUUCGGUUGGCUGAUACAAAUAUUCGUGCGGGUUCAGUUCGGUCAUGGUGCAGUUUAUAAACCAUUCUCGGGUUGGGUCACCAUUGGCUUUUCAUGUGUUUGUCAGUGGUCCGGCCUCUCAUGUGACUCUACUUGGGAGCUCCUAAGUGGCGCCAAGCGCCACUUGGAGGAACAGGUGCUAACGCACUUGUAUUCAUGGGCCGGCCCAUUAGAAGGUCAGCGCUCGAUUACGUGACCAGUUUCCACGCAGUCGCUCGAUUGUGGUUGACCAGUUGACCGGUCAACCUUUGACUUUGAAAAAAGUAUGAAAUUUUUCGCAAAAAAGAAUAAUUUCAUGACUUAAAAAUGUUCAUGGAUUUUGAAAAGAAGUUCACAAACUUUAAAAAAUAGUUCACGGAUUGGAAAAAAAUUCAUUGAUUUUUUUUUCACAAAAGUUGAAAUUUUUAAUAUCAGUUUUGAAAAAAUUUCAUUGAAUUUGAAAAAUGUUCAUCGAAUUUAGAAAGUUCCACCAAUUUUAAAGAAAGGUAGAUCAAGUUUGAAAAGGGAAAUCAUCAAUUUUGAAAGAAUUCAUCGAUUUGAAAAAGUUCAUGCAUUUAAGAAACGAAAAAAAUAGGAAAAUGAAAAAAAAAGGAAAUGUAGAGAAUCCAAGUGAAAACACAGAAAAAAACUAAACAGAAAUGACAAUGGGCCUGCCCGUUACUAGACUUAGUGUACCGUAGGGUGUGCGCGUGUGGUGGCUUAAUGGGACAAGGCGCACAAGGUGAUGCAAACCAAUUUUUUUAUAUUGAACUUUUAUACUUAUUUUGAACUAAAUGAACCAUAUUAAAAUAUUAAUUAAUAUAGUGUUCUAUUGCUUAGCCACAUAACAAUGUUUCCAAACAUUAGUUAUAUUAUUCAUUGUUAUACAGUUGUAAUGUAUAUCAUUGAAUUUUUUUCUGCAAAAUUUAAAUUGUAUGAUGUACCAAAAAUUCCGUUUCUUGUUUAAAAAGGUAUUGAAAUUUAUUUUUUACUAUUGCAUAGAUUAUAUAGUGUAUAUACAUAUAUUUGCAUAUCUAUGCGUUUGUUUCCAUAUCGUUUAAUAUUAUUGAAUGACAUGGUAGAGAUUUCUAAAUCAUAUACACACUGACAAAAUUUCAAUAGUGGUUUCUAAUAUAUAUUAGGCACCAUGUUCGUGGAAAUUUCUAGCGCUUACAAAUGUGAUUUGAAAGUUGGGUUCAGUAAUAGAGUCAUCAAAGAAUAAAAAAUGUUGUUGAUUGUACUUUUGUGUAUGAUUUGAUUAUCUGACAUGAUCGUCUUGAUUUACUUGGUUUGAUUUGGUGCUUAUCCAUUUCUCAAAUGAAAAAAAUUAUGCAUUGGUUUAAACAUUGAAAUCUAGUUAUCAAAAAAUUUCACUAUGAAACUAAGACAUCCACCAUAAAGAGAGACUAGCGUAUCUAAACUCAAGGUUAGUCAGAUUGGUUUGCCUUCACAUGGUAUAAAUUGUUAUUAUAUGGUGUGAACUUGCGCUCCUGCAAAUUGAGGCUUAUUUCUAUAUUUAAUGUUUUAGAUGUAAUGUAUAAUUUUUGAAUCCUGGUAAAUGUCACAUGUGUGGCACGAAUGCAUGGCAAUUCCGAACGUUUUUUUAAUCGCAAGCUUAGUGACGUGAGGAUGACAAUUUUAGUUGUCAAAGUAUGACAACUUUCAUACUUCAAAGGAUGGCAACUUUAUUUUUCGGGUUUGUAAUUUUUUGAAUGGUAGCUUUAAUUGUAAAAAAGCCAGAGCCCGAGUGCUUCACACCACACGUGUGACACUUAUCAUUUGAGUAAUUUUUUAGUGUUUAUAUACUACUUCCUCUGUUCCUAAAUAUAAGUUUGUUUAGAGAUUCCAACAUGGAUUAUAUACGGAGCAAAAUGAGUGAAUCUACACUCUAAAAUAUGUCUAUAUAUAUCCUUAUGUAGUUCGUAUUGAAAUUGCUAACAUAAUUGUGUAUAGAAACGGAGGGAGUAGUAUAAUGUAUAGUAGGCUGUCGCCCUUUUACCCGGCCUAUACGCCAGCCCUAUUUUCACAAGUAAAGUGGGCAAACUUCCUAUGGCUUAGACUUAAUUUUUUUUGAGAGUUGCAUAGGAAAGGGUGGACAAUAUAUUAGGAGUAGGUUCUUUUGCAAGAUAAGACAUUAUGUAGGUGGCAGAACAAUUUUAAGUAAUUGCUCCCUUUUCCAUAUCCUCUUUGAACAUGUUUUUUGGGAAAUUUUUGUUUUUGCCACUAUAAUUUUUGCCAAUUUUGCUUAUGUCACACUAAAAUUUGACAUUUCACUUUUGCCACUCUUGCUUUUGACAAUGUAUCACAAUUGUCAUUAACAUGACGAGCCAACCACUUAUAUCAUAGGAGAAAAACAUUUUGCUAACCAAAUAUGGACAUGGCCGAGCUAACCACUUAUCGGUGCGUGUUAUCAUCCGGUUUUUAAAAAACCUUUUCCUUUCCGAAUUCCGGUCUAGUUUGCGGCUCCGACCCCAACUCGUCGUCGGCCUCGAUCCGAUCUACUUAUAGUAGAUCCCCCUAGUCCUCUCUCGUAACCUAGGAACACCGUGCGAGCACAGCUGUAGCUACGUGAUACGCACGGAGAAGUACCGACCGAACGUGCUGCACAACAGCAACACGAGGGAGACGAUCAUGGACAGCGUGUUCGGCGUGGUGGGCGGCGGCUUCGCGGUGGUGGCCGCCGGCACCUCCGCCGCGGGAAGAAGCGUCGUGUUCAUCAACCCCGACAACGACAGGGUCACGAGCCUCGGCUCCAAACUGCUUCUCGGCGUGUCCGGCGUCCCCGGAGACUGGUACGUAAUCCACCACGAUCGAGAUUAAUCAAUUCUCACGCUCCUUCGCCUGAGUCUUCGAUCAGUCUUUGUGAUCCUCGCCUGAGUCCUCCAUGCUUUUGUGUUUCGUAGCCUGCGGUUAAGGGAUGAGGUGAGGGCCAGCACGAGCAAGAUCCACAGCGCCGCCGCGGCUGCUGACGUCGCCCGGGGGGCGGUGAUCGGCUGCGCUCAGUCCGCGAACGCGGUGAUCGCCGGCUACGACAAGGCCGAGGGCCCGACGAUGUACGCCGUAGGCGGCACUGCGCCGCCGGAGCGGGUGGAGCAGUACCGCACCGCUGGGUGCGGGGCGGGCCUCUGCACGGCGGUGAUGGAGAACCACUACCGCCCCGGCAUGACGGUGAAGGAGGCUGUGGCGCUCGUAGACAGGUGCAUCAAGGAGGUCCGGCGGCUCGGGCUGGCUAGCUUCGUGAUCAUGGUCGUGGACAAGGAUGGGGCCAGGGAGUACACCAGGCGUAUACUAAGGCCGAAGGCGGUGAUAGAAAUAAAAUCCAGUCAGGGAACGCCUAUUGUAAGCACGAAUAAUUAAAGUAGUGGUAGUAUAUUUUGCGUAAAAUUUAUAUACAAACUUGUUUGUAAUUUGGAAAUUUAAGUGGGGUUCAUAUACAUGUUCUUUCUCACUCUUACCGGCUAUCUCCGCCACGUUUAUCAAACCCGCUCUGGAGGCAUUGUUUUGGCUUGACCGCCCCCUUGGGCACCAAAGGAAUCACUAGCUCCGGUUCGUCGGACCCGCCGGUGCCCGUGCGGUCUAUAGCGGUGGAAAUUGUCUGUUGGCCGAUACCUCUUGGCCGACAUCAUCCUCAAGUCUGGUUGUCCACCUGCCAAUCUCCUAGGCGCAACGGUGGAGGGCCAGCGAGUCUAGUCUAUAGUUUUGGUCGCGUGUUCGAGGUGUUUGGCAUCGAUUGAGGCGCGACCUUGGGCUCUAUGUCCUGCCUCAUUGCCAUUCGUAUGUUUGUCUGGCCCAGCCGUGGAGGAGUCACGGUUGAAGCAAACCACAGGUCAAUUUUUUUGGCAACAUUUGGAGUUGAGACUUUCUUAUCCCUCUUGUUACGACGGAUCGAGCAUAUGAUUCUUUUCUUGAUUGAAAUCAUUCACUUUUCCUUGAAAUCAUCACAAAGUAAUUGGAAGAAGAAGUGCUUGAGAAGCUAAUGGAUAUAUAUUCUAUGGUGGCUUCUCCAAUAGUUCGAGCCAUAGCUUCAUUUCAUUGUUUCUAUAAUUUUCUUCACUUUAUCAUUGCCCUCAAGUACAAGUAAUUUCUGACAAACUUUCUUUCCCAUGGUUCGGGUGGGCACGGAUAUGGAUGGCAGGACAUGAGUGAAGAUCCCUCAGCUAAGGGCUAGACCGGACGUUUCACUGUCUGAUGACGAGUGCACACAAAUCAACCCUAGAAGGAUUCUGCUAUGUCAAAAGUGUUUAUAUAAUCGAAUUGUUUAACGCCAAGAUGCCAAUAGCAAUGAUGGAUAAAGCAACUCCCACGAGUAGGGCUCGAAAGCCGGGGACUCUCCUGGCAAAGAAUCUGAACGAUCUGAGUUCUUUUUUGAGAAAGAAGAAGAUGCAAGGCAUGGAUCCAAGCCUGAAGGCGACGUGGAGUGUUAUUAUUAUCGUUACUCCAGAGAAUGGGAGGCACUCUCUUCUUGCAAAAUGCAGUUAUGAAAUCUGUAAUCUAGAUGAUUCUGGUUGAAGGGGACGAUGCAGCCUAGCGGUUACGAACUUUUUGUUCGAUUCAAAGGAUUUCCACUUAAGUAAAGCUAUGGUGGGAGGAAUUUUUUUCGAGUAAUUUUCUUUUGGCAAUAUGAAAAAGGAUGGGGAAAAUCUAUUAAAAAUCAAUUUUUCAACACUUCAAAUCAUCAAACACGUAGCAAGUUACACUCCCACAACACAUACAUCAAAAAGGCAAUUAAAUUACCCAAAGUAGCAGGAAGGCUGAAGCGGGAAGUAGGUGCGGCGACGCAAAGUAAGGGCAGAGGAGACGGGGAAGAUGCUCGGAGGCAGAAGCACGACAACCUCGGCCCGGGGAGGACAUGAUGGUGGCGACAACAGAUAGCAGAAAGCAGCAUCUCGACUGUCAGGCGCAGCCGCACCAGCGGAGGCUGGGUUUGUUGUUUCAUCGACAGUCCUGCUCGUCGGGACUCGGGAUAACUAAGACGGCGCCGCGGGCAGCUAGUAGUCAGACAGGAAGCAGCAACACGAUAGUCGAGGCACGCUUUGGGGGCAGGGGAAGGUCGGGGACAAGGAGGAUGAACUGCAAGAGCUCGCCAGGUUAGGCCCUGUACAAUGUUGUUAUCUUAGGUGUGCCACGUAGAAUAAGUGCUGAGAUGGUAGAAAGAGAAGUUAGGAAAAAAAGGUUACUUUUUUUUAAUCAAGAGAUGAUAUCUUAGCAUAAUAUGUCUCAUCACAUUUUUAGAAAUAGCUAAUUAUCGAAGAUAUGGCUAAGGGAUAACACAUUGUACACAUGUUUUUAGUGCCAUAUCUAAAUUACAUGAAAGACUUAAGAUAAAGACGGUCAUAUGAACCAGUGUACAUGCAUUUAGACCGUGGUCGCGUCUGGGUAAGGGGAUGUAUGCGUGUUUACGUGCUUGGGUUAGGUCGGCCAUUCCCUAUUCGGCGCUUAUGGCGCCAAUUACAACAUGUUUUUCUGUAAACUGACGCCCACCGCAAUCGGUCGCUCGCAGAACGGGCUGGCCCAUAUUAGCCACCGAGCGGCACUUCGUCUCGUUUUUUCGAAGCUCAAUCGAUUUCCGGACCUUACCAACCCGAUUUUUCUUUUUCACUUUGAUUUUUCUGGACCGGGUCAUCACUACUUGUUGUCUUUUUUCCUUUUUGUUAUUCACUACGGUUUUAGUUAUAUUAUUCUUUUUCGCAUUUGUUUCCUUAACCACGUGAACUUAUUUUAAAUUUAAAUUUUCACAAAUCUUUGAACUUUUUAAAAAUUAAAAAACCCUUCUCCAAAUUCGUGAACUUUUUCAAUUUUUUUUGUGAACGUUUUCAAUUCCGUAAGUUUUUAAAGAAAUUGUGAAUAUUGUAAAAGCAAUUCUGAGCAUUUUUUAAUUUAUGACCUUUUUCUUCAAAUUUUGUGAAUUAUUUUCAAUUUCUGCAAACUUUUUCCCAAUUUUUAAUUUCUUCUUUCAAAUUUGGUGAACUUAUUUCUAAUUUGAAAAACAAAAUCAUUUUUUCAAGAUUUCGAACUUUGUUCAAAUUUAUGAAUUAUUUAUUUUUCAUAUUCAACGUGUACUCGUCGUCAGUCAUCAGGUCAAAUGAAACAAAAACCCAGAAGAAAUACCCAGGCGACGACAUAGUAGAUGGGCCAGCACUAGAGCGGAGGCGCCCCUAUGUUUCGCUUAGGGCGAGACGAAGAGAACCCUCGCGUCAAGGGCAGCGUGAGAUGGGCCUGCCCAGGUGCGCUGUAGACCACCACAUUGUGUUUAUUUUGCUUUUUGGUUUUUUACUUUUGUUUAUACUUCCAAAUAUUAUUAGUAAAAUAUAUUACAAAAACAAUUGGAUGAAACAUUUUUUAAAAAAAGUUAAUCAAACAUUUUAAAAAUGUUAAAUGUGUAUAAAAAAUGUUUUUGUUAUAUACGAAAAUACAUAAUGUGUGUGAAAAGUUUAUCAUGUACUUAAAAUAAUUUAGUCAAGCAUUUUAAAAAGUUAAACAAUUAUUUCAAAUUUUUUAAUAAAACAUUUUAAAAAUGUUAGAUGUCUAUAGAAAAAAUGUUGAACAUUUAUUAAAAAAUGCUAAUCUUUCAUUUAAAAAAUGUUAAUCAAGCAUUUGGAAAAUUUUAAUAAGUAUAAAAAAAUAUGGACCAUGUAUUAAAAUAUUUAAUAUUGUAUUUAAAAAUGUUAAUUGAGCAUUUAAAAAUAUUAAAAUUUUGUAUAGAAAAACUUGACCGUGUAUUUAAAAAUGUUAAACUUGUAUUUUAAUAAUGCUAAACUUGCAUUAGGAAAAUGUAUUAGAUAUAUAUACCAAAAAUGUACAAUGUGUACGGGAAAAAUUAGACAUAAAAAAACAAAAUUUCGAAUUUUUUUAAUCAUUUAUUUGAAAAUGAUAACCAUGUAUAUUAAAAGAAGUUUCAAAUGUAUAUGAAAAAUCUUGAAUGUGUAGUGAAAAAAAAUUAACACGUGUUGAACCAAAAAGAAUCAUAUGAAUGAUAGAAAACAAGUAAAAUGAAGAAGUCCCAAUAAAAACCGAAAAGAAAAAAAAUGAAAAACCCGAAGAAACUAAUUUAAAAGAAUGGAAACAAAGAAAACCGAGAAAUAAACAAAUAAAAAUAGAGGAAAAAAAAUGAAAAACCGAUGACAACCGCUGAAAGAAAACUGAUGAAAAAGCAAAGAAAAUAGAAAAGCAAUAAGAAAUCGCGAAGAAACAAAGGAAAAAGAAAGGAAGACUAAAAAUAGAACAUAAAAGAAAAGAACCCGUAUUAUCCCGAGCGAGAACCAGCGAGCUCGGCGAAAAACAAAACAAACUCAGCGAAGGAAAAAUCAUGAAAAUGGGUCAGCCCAGUAGCUAUACCGCGGGCGUAAAACCUUUAGCGAGGCCUAAGGUAAUCUCACUAUAAACGAGGUAUAACAUAUGCGUGGUAUAGGCGCUCUCAUUUGGUCGUGCUAGGGAAGAGACUAGCCAGCCCAAACUAGUAUUCGGGCCUUUUUGUGUUGGGCUGAGCCCAUGCCAAAAAUAAAAGUCUAUAUUUACACAACUAAACAGUCUAUUGGUCUUGAAAGUUUGAAUUUAGGCAUUGAAUAGUGUAUCCAACCAUUAAUUGGGCUACAUCUGAUAACCUAGAACGUUGGGAUUCACGGCCAUACUAGGGUUCUGUGUUAUAUGGUUGUUCCAAAACAUUCAUGUUUUUUAUUAGAAAGACAAAGACAUCUUACAUAUGAAAUUAUCAAGAAAAACAACUAGUACAAUGAUAAGACACCUGGUAGCAGAACGAGCAGUUAAAAAUGAAAUUACAAUGGAAAUCACACUAGACUUCUUCCUCCGAUUGAUUGCCACUCACCAGAGAUUGAAAAUCAUACCGAACCAAUAAUAAGAGAAGAGGCACCUGCAAAUGCCCUCACCACACUAGGCAUUUAAAGACCGCGUAACCACUUGCCGCUUGAAACGAGAUCUAGAAGUCGGUGAAUAAACAUUAGUUGGAGCAUCAUGCCACGUAGGACAUGUUUGCAGUCCAUCCUACCUGCCAUGAGAGUUGGAGAAACCGGACCAUGCUGUAGAACAACACUGAAGAAGAUGUUGAAUUCGUUGCAUCAAUAGCUAACCAUGGCUCUCCUUGAUUGACAGACUAACUACCAAGAUCCAAACAAACCCAACAUAUCUGGUGACACAAACUCUUCAUCGAUGUCGGACCAAUCGUCGUUGAGGUAGGGAGAGGUUGGAGAGGCCUUAUUCAAACACAUUAUUGUCGCCAUCACUUCAUCAAUGCCACCAGAGAAAACAAACCUAAGAAAAAGACAAGCGAAAUAGAUGGGUCCCCACCCCUCUUAACGCCGACAAGGUUGUCAGACAGAGGAGAGAAGGGGGACCAAGGUGGCGGCAUGGAGGAGACCCUUGGGGGUUGUGGCUAGGGUUGGCAACGGAAGAUGGGGAUCUAUUUUUCCUUGAAACAUCCAUGAAUUAAUACAGGGUCAAUGCUAUCUCGAUGACUGGAUUGUUCUAGAACACCGAGUCAUCGACCCACCCUAGUACAUGCCUAUUUCAGCUGGUUGGAGCCAAUUGAAUCAUCAGUUCCACAUACUCACAUAUCUUGGAGCCAGGAGAAUCAUUUCACCAAAGCAGACAUUGGCAGCCAUACUUGCCUUGUGGCUGAACAAAGAAAUGAACUACUUCCCUACUAUUAAGUCUGACAAAAGGAAAAAAUAGAAUGCAAAUCGGAAAAGUAAACAAAUCAAUACAAUGCAUUACCCACAUACAUGGUAUCACCUACUAAGCAUUUUCCUCUUGGAAAGCUAUAGUAAAUGUUACAUGAAACAUAGCAAUAGGUGCCGCGAAUUUGUUUAAACUGCAUAUUCCUUGCAUGUGAUAUUUACUGACAUAUGAACAUGAGAAUCUUCCUUAUGAUAAUUCCAAGUAUUUCGUUUCUGUUUCUGUUUCAUGCCCAAUGUUCAUUUUGUUGGGGAACGUAGUAAUUUCAAAAAAUUUCCUACGCACACGCAAGAUCAUGGUGAUGCAUAGCAACGAGAGGGGAGAGUGUUGUCCACGUACCCUCGUAGACCGAAAGCGGAAGCGUUAGCACAACGCGGUUGAUGUAGUCGUAUGUCUUCACGAUCCGACCGAUCAAGUACCGAACGCACGGCACCUCCGAGUUCAGCACACGUUCAGCUCGAUGACGUCCCUCGAACUUCGAUCCAGCCGAGUGUUGAGGGAGAGUUUCGUCAGCACGACGGCGUGGUGACGAUGAUGAUGUUCUACCGACGCAGGGCUUUGCCUAAGCACCGCUAUAGUAUUAUCGAGGUGGACUAUCGUGGAGGGGGGCACCGCACACGGCUAAAAGAUCAAAUCAAUUGUUGUGUCUCUAGGGUGCCCCCCUGCCCCCGUAUAUAAAGGAGCAAGGGGGAAGGUGCGGCCGGCCAGGAGGAAGCGCGCCAGGAGGAGUCCUACUCCCACCGGGAGUAGGACUCCCUCCCUUUUCCUUGUUGGNNNNNNNNNNNNNNNNNNNNNNNNNNNNNNNNNNNNNNNNNNNNNNNNNNNNNNNNNNNNNNNNNNNNNNNNNNNNNNNNNNNNNNNNNNNNNNNNNNNNNNNNNNNNNNNNNNNNNNNNNNNNNNNNNNNNNNNNNNNNNNNNNNNNNNNNNNNNNNNNNNNNNNNNNNNNNNNNNNNNNNNNNNNNNNNNNNNNNNNNNNNNNNNNNNNNNNNNNNNNNNNNNNNNNNNNNNNNNNNNNNNNNNNNNNNNNNNNNNNNNNNNNNNNNNNNNNNNNNNNNNNNNNNNNNNCGGUAACCCCCCGGUACUCCGGUAUAUAUCCGAUAACCCCCGGAAUCAUUCCGGUGUCCGAAUAUAGUCAUCCAAUAUAUCAAUCUUCAUGUCUCGACCAUUUCGAGACUCCUCGUUAUGUCCGUGAUCACUUCCGGGACUCCGAACAACCUUCGGUACAUCAAAACUCAUAAACUCAUAAUAUAACUGUCAUCAAAACUUUAAGCGUGCGGACCCUACGGGUUCGAGAACUAUGUAGACAUGACCGAGACACGUCUCCGGUCAAUAGCCAAUAGCGGAACCUAGAUGCUCAUAUUGGCUCCCACAUAUUCUACGAAGAUCUUUAUCGGUCAGACCGCAUAACAACAUACGUUGUUCCCUUUGUCAUCGGUUUGUUACUUGCCCGAGAUUCGAUCGUCGGUAUCUCAAUACCUAGUUCAAUCUCGUUACCGACAAGUCUCUUUACUCGUUCCGUAAUGCAUCAUUCCGCAACUAACUCAUUAGUCACAUUGCUUGCAAGGCUUAUAGUGAUGUGCAUUACCGAGAGGGCCCAGAGAUACCUCUCCGAUAAUCAGAGUGACAAAUCCUAAUCUCGAAAUACGCCAACCCAACAAGUACCUUCGGAGACACCUGUAGAGCACCUUUAUAAUCACCCAGUUACGUUGUGACGUUUGGUAGCACACAAAGUGUUCCUCCGAUAAACGGGAGUUGCAUAAUCUCAUAGUCAUAGGAACAUGUAUAAGUCAUGAAGAAAGCAAUAUCAACAUACUAAACGAUCGAGUGCUAAGCUAACGGAAUGGGUCAAGUCAAUCACAUCAUUCUCCUAAUGAUGUGAUCCCGUUAAUCAAAUGACAACUCAUGUCUAUGGCUAGGAAACAUAACCAUCUUUGAUUAACGAGCUAGUCAAGUAGAGGCAUGCUAGUGACACUCUGUUUGUCUAUGUAUUCACACAAGUAUUACGUUUCCGGUUAAUACAAUUCUAGCAUGAAUAAUAAACAUUUAUCAUGAUAUAAGGAAAUAAAUAAUAACUUUAUUAUUGCCUCUAGGGCAUAUUUCCUUCAGUCUCCCACUUGCACUAGAGUCAAUAAUCUAGAUUUACACAGUAAUGAUUCUAACACCCAUGGAGCCUUGGUGCUGAUCAUGUUUUGCUCGUGGAAGAGGCUUAGUCAACGGGUCUGCAACAUUCAGAUCCGUAUGUAUCUUGCAAAUUUCUAUGUCUCCCACCUGGACUAGAUCCCGGAUGGAAUUGAAGCGUCUCUUGAUGUGCUUGGUUCUCUUGUGAAAUCUGGAUUCCUUUGCCAAGGCAAUUGCACCAGUAUUGUCACAAAAGAUUUUCAUUGGACCCGAUGCACUUGGUAUGACACCUAGAUCGGAUAUGAACUCCUUCAUCCAGACUCCUUCAUUUGCUGCUUCCGAAGCAGCUAUGUACUCCUCUUCACACAUAGAUCCCGCCACGACGCUUUGUUUAGAACUGCACCAACUGACAGCUCCACUGUUCAAUGUAAACACGUAUCCGGUUUGCGAUUUAGAAUCAUCCGGAUCAGUGUCAAAGCUUGCAUCGACGUAACCAUUUACGACUAGCUCUUUGUCACCUCCAUAAACGAGAAACAUAUCCUUAGUCCUUUUUAGGUAUUUCAGGAUGUUCUUGACCGCUGUCCAGUGACCUACUCCUGGAUUACUUUGGUACCUCCCUGCUAGACUUAUAGCAAGGCACACAUCAGGUCUAGUACACAGCAUUGCAUACAUGAUAGAGCCUAUGGCUGAAGCAUAGGGAACAUCUUUCAUCUUCUCUCUAUCUUCUGCAGUGGUCGGGCAUUGAGUCUUACUCAACUUCACACCUUGUAACACACGCAAGAACCCUUUCUUUGCUUGAUCCAUUUUGAACUUCUUCAAAACUUUGUCAAGGUAUGUGCUUUGUGAAAGUCCAAUUAAGCGUCUUGAUCUAUCUCUAUAGAUCUUGAUGCCCAAUAUAUAAGCAGCUUCACCGAGGUCUUUCAUUGAAAAACUCUUAUUCAAGUAUCCCUUUAUGCUAUCCAGAAAUUCUAUAUCAUUUCCAAUCAACAAUAUGUCAUCCACAUAUAAUAUAAGAAAUGCUACAGAGCUCCCACUCACUUCCUUGUAAAUACAGGCUUCUCCAAAAGUCUGUACAAAACCAAAUGCUUUGAUCACACUAUCAAAGCGUUUAUUCCAACUCCAAGAGGCUUGCACCAGUCCAUAAAUGGAUCGCUGGAGCUUGCACACUUUGUUAGCUCCCUUUGGAUCGACAAAACCUUCUGGUUGCAUCAUAUACAACUCUUCUUCCAGAAAUCCAUUCAGGAAUGCAGUUUUGACAUCCAUUUGCCAAAUUUCAUAAUCAUAAAAUGCGGCAAUUGCUAACAUGAUUUGGACAGACUUAAGCAUCGCUACGGGUGAGAAAGUCUCAUCGUAGUCAAUCCCUUGAACUUGUCGAAAACCUUUUGCAACAAGUCGAGCUUUAUAGACAGUAACAUUACCGUCAGCGUCAGUCUUCUUCUUGAAGAUCCAUUUAUUCUCAAUGGCUUGCCGAUCAUCGGGCAAGUCAACCAAAGUCCACACUUUGUUCUCAUACAUGGAUCCCAUCUCAGAUUUCAUGGCUUCAAGCCAUUUUGCGGAAUCUGGGCUCACCAUCGCUUCUUCAUAGUUCGUAGGUUCGUCAUGGUCUAGUAACAUAACCUCCAGAACAGGAUUACCGUACCACUCUGGUGCGGAUCUUACUCUGGUUGACCUACGAGGUUCAGUAACAACUUGACCUGAAGUUCCAUGAUCAUCAUCAUUAACUUCCUCACUAAUUGGUGUAGGCGUCACAGGAACCGGUUUCUGUGAUGAACUACUUUCCAAUAAGGGAGCAGGUACAAUUACCUCAUCAAGUUCUACUUUCCUCCCACUCACUUCUUUCGAGAGAAACUCCUUCUCUAGAAAGGAUCCAUUCUUAGCAACGAAUGUCUUGCCUUCGGAUCUGUGAUAGAAGGUGUACCCAAUAGUCUCCUUUGGGUAUCCUAUGAAGACACAUUUCUCCGAUUUGGGUUCGAGCUUAUCAGGUUGAAGCUUUUUCACAUAUGCAUCUCAGCCCCAAACUUUAAGAAACGACAACUUUGGUUUCUUGCCAAACCACAGUUAAUAAGGUGUCGUCUCAACGAAUUUCGAUGGCGCCCUAUUUAAUGUGAAUGCAGCCGUCUCUAAAGCAUAACCCCAAAAUGAUAGCGGUAAAUCAGUAAGAGACAUCAUAGAUCAUACCAUAUCUAGUAAAGUACGAUUACGACGUUCGGACACACCAUUACGCUGUGGUGUUCCGGGUGGCGUGAGUUGCGAAACUAUUCCGCAUUGUUUCAAAUGUAGACCAAACUCGUAACUCAAAUAUUAUCCUCCACGAUCAGAUCAUAGAAACUUUAUUUUCUUGUUACGAUGAUUUUCAACUUCACUCUGAAAUUCUUUGAACUUUUCAAAUGUUUUAGACUUAUGUUUCAUUAAGUAGAUAUACCCAUAUCUGCUUAAAUCAUCUGUGAAGGUGAGAAAAUAACGAUACCCGCCGCGAGCCUCAACAUUCAUCGGACCACAUACAUCUGUAUGUAUGAUUUCCAACAAAUCUGUUGCUCUCUCCAUAGUACCGGAGAACGACAUUUUAGUCAUCUUGCCCAUGAGGCACGGUUCGCAAGUACCAAGUGAUUCAUAAUCAAGUGGUUCCAAAAGUCCAUCAGUAUGGAGUUUCUUCAUGCGCUUUACACCGAUAUGACCUAAACGGCAGUGCCACAAAUAAGUUGCACUAUCAUUGUCAACUCUGCAUCUUUUGGUUUCAACAUUAUGAAUAUGUGUAUCACUACUAUCGAGAUUCAUCAAAAAUAGACCACUCUUCAAGGGUGCAUGACCAUAAAAGUUAUUACUCAUAUAAAUAGAACAACCAUUAUUCUCUGAUUUAAAUAAAUAACCGUCUCGCAUCAAACAAGAUCCAGAUAUAAUGUUCAUGCUCAACGCUGGCACGAAAUAACAAUUAUUUAGGUCUAAUACUAAUCCCGAAGGUAGAUGUAGAGGUAGUGUGCCGACGGCGAUCACAUCGACAUUGGAACCGUUUCCCACGCGCAUCGUCACCUCGUCCUUGGCCAGUGUUCGCUUAAUCCGUAGUCCCUGUUUUGACUUGCAAAUAUUAGCAACAGAACCAGUAUCAAAUACCCAGGUGCUACUACGAGCUCUGGUAAGGUACACAUCAAUAACAUGUAUAUCACAUAUACCUUUGUUCACCUUGCCAUCCUUCUUAUCUGCCAAAUACUUGGGGCAGUUCCGCUUCCAGUGACCAGUCUGCUUGCAGUAGAAGCACUCAGUCUCAGGCUUAGGUCCAGACUUGGGUUUCUUCUCUUGAGCAACAACUUGCUUGCUGUUCUUCUUGAAGUUCCCCUUCUUCUUUCCUUUGCCCUUUUUCUUGAAACUAGUGGUCUUAUUAACCAUCAACACUUGAUGCUCCUUCUUGACUUCUACCUCUGCAGCCUUUAGCAUUGCGAAGAGCUCGGGAAUCGUCUUAUCCAUCCCUUGCAUGUUAUAGUUCAUCACGAAGCUCUUGUAGCUUGGUGGCAGUGAUUGAAGAAUUCUGUCAAUGACGCUAUCAUCCGGAAGAUUAACUCCUAGUUGAAUCAAGUGAUUAUUAUACCCAGACAUUUUGAGUAUAUGCUCACUGACAGAACUAUUCUCCUCCAUCUUGCAGCUGUAGAACUUAUUGGAGACUUCAUAUCUCUCAAUCCGGGCAUUUGCUUGAAAUCGUAACUUCAACUCCUGGAACAUCUCAUAUUCUCCAUGACGUUCAAAACGUCGUUGAAGUCCCGGUUCUAAGCCGUAAAGCAUGACACACCGAACUAUCGAGUAGUCAUCAGCUUUGCUCUGCCAGACGUUCAUAACAUCUGGUGUUGCUCCUGCAGCAGGUUUGGCACCUAGCGGUGCUUCCAGGACGUAAUUCUUCCGUGCAGCAAUGAGGAUAAUCCUCAAGUUACGGACCCAGUCCGUGUAAUUGCUACCAUCAUCUUUCAACUUUGCUUUCUCAAGGAACGCAUUAAAAUUCAACGGAACAACAGCACGGGCCAUCUAUCUACAAUCAACAUAGACAAGCAAGAUACUAUCAGGUACUAAGUUCAUGAUAAAUUUAAGUUCAAUUAAUCAUAUUACUUAAGAACUCCCACUUAGAUAGACAUCCCUCUAAUCCUCUAAGUGAUCACGUGAUCCAAAUCAACUAAACCAUAACCGAUCAUCACGUGAAAUGGAGUAGCUUUCAAUGGUGAACAUCAUUAUGUUGAUCAUAUCUACUAUAUGAUUCACGCUCGACCUUUCAGUCUCAGUGUUCCGAGGCCAUAUCUGCAUAUGCUAGGCUCGUCAAGUUUAACCUGAGUAUUCUGCGUGCGCAAAACUGGCUUGCACCCAUUGUAGAUGGACGUAGAGCUUAUCACACCCGAUCAUCACGUGGUGUCUGGGCACGACGAACUUGUGACGCCCCAAGACCGACGCUCUAGAUGCCUUCCAUUUAGUUUCAUUGUCAUCGUGUGUUUCAUAUGUUUGUUGCCAUGAUCUUGAUGAGUGCCAUUGCCAUAUUCUGCUUCUUGCAUCACGUUCAUCUUAUAUUACAUUGCAUUGCACCAUCCUUGCUUUGUUCUAUGCUUCAUGAUGCGAUGUGCCUCUUGUCAUUCUAUUGCAUUGCAUCAUGAUCAUCAUGCCUUGUUUUGCAUAUUUAAGUUUUGUUGUGUGUUCUUGUGUGAACCCCUCUUAUUCUUAUCUCCACCUCAUUUUUGUUCCAUGCGCAUACCAGCAACAAUUCAUCAAGUUCACCCAAGUUUCUAUCCCAUCCAAACUUCUCCUUUUCCCUUUCUUUCAAUUAUUUCUCUAGUGGCAUUUUCUGCUCCAGAUUAAUGUUCACUAUAUUUUUUAUAUUCUCUACACCAUGCCAAGACCACCUCCUCCAGUUUUCAAGUCCUUUGGAAGUGUUUUGGUUGGGCUAAGGAUUUAUUCAAGCUUGAAUUAUUUUCAAACUUGUUUGAAUUUGCAGUCUCUUAAAAUUACCAGAGCAUUUUAUUCAAAUGCUGCAUAAUUCCUGGUGUCCAGGGAUAUUUUGUUCUUAGCCUAUUUCUUCUCAAAACUCCCUGGACUUUUCUUUUUCUAAACCUGGAGAUUCAAAGUUUUAGAAAAGAAGAAAAUGGAAGGGGCCUCCCAGCAGCGCACCUUGGGCCUUUUUCCCUCACCUACAGCCCAGCCAAGCCACCGCAGCCCGCCUGGCCCGACUUUGUUCACGGCCACCUGCCCCGUUGCGUCACCGUCUCUGUUCCAGAGACAGAGCGCUCGCGCUCGCGCCGUGAGUUUCACGGACGCCGAGGUCGCGCCGUCUUCUCCCCUCCUUUUUAAGCCAGUAGCCACGCCCUAGGGUUUCCCCUUCUCCCUCUCGUUUCCUCCGCCGCUGCCAGCCAGGAGGGCAGCUCCUCCCCGCUCCAUCUCCCCCCUGCAGCCACCAUGGCCGGUCCAAGAAAGAGCUCAUCACCGGAGUAGGAGCAUCGCCGGCCUCCCCACCGUCGACCCAGAGCACCUCAGCGCCUCCCAGAGUCUGUUCUGACGCCUAUCCGAGCCCUAGGACGCCUUCCCCGACGUCCUCUUCAUCCUCUACUUCGUCUUCUUCACGGACAGCAAGUCCACCGGAGUUUCUCGCCUCCUAUCCAUCGAUAUUCUGCGUCCCCGGCCGCAUCCUCAUGUCACAUGUAUACUAGGUAUACCCAAAUCCAAUCCUGCUCUUUUCCAUCGCGAUUUGAUCGCCGGAGUCAUCGCUAGAACCAUGCCAUCUUCGUGUUCUCGGUGCUCCGACGAGUUCUGAAUUUUGUUGUGUAGUUGCAGUAGUCGUCGUGGUUCCUCGCGCUUCGCCCCCGCUCUGAAUCCUCUCUAGCACACGCCGCCUUGUCGUGCCACUCCCUGCUCGCCACCGCUCCCGGCAGCUUCGCCGAUUGCCUCGCGUCGUCGUCGCCCGAGCCGAGCCAUGCUCGUGCUCAAGCAGGUCCUGCUGCUGCUUGCCCUGCUUCUCCUCGCCGCGCGUCCUCUGCACACACGCCGCCCAUUUGCUGCACCUUCGUGGGCACACCUCCAUGCACAUGCUUCUACACAUGCGCAUGGCCGCGCUCGACUGCAAGCCCGUGGCCUGCUGCGUCUUGCCUCGCCGCCAUGCCCGGGACGAGCUCAAGCUCGUGCUCGAGCCAAUCUCCUGCAGCUGCUCCGCCUGCACGCGACCAUCCCGCAGCUGCUCACACAUCCAGACCCGCAUGCCCGCCGCUGGUUUUUAGCCGUAGCCGCCGCUGCUUCUAGCCGCGAGCAACCGCUGGAGUUUUGCGUCCUCUGUUCAUCCAUGGAGGUCCAGGAUCGGGGCUUCAACCUAUUUAAGAUGUGCCAUGCUCUUCACUUUCACAAACACACAACCAGCUCGACUGGUUAACCCAUCGUGCCAUUAGCAGGAGGUCCUGGGUUUGAGUCCCAGGCGUCCCAAUUUUUGCAUAGUUUUUCGUUCUGCACACACACUGUCACUCGGGCCAAAUCCUCGUGGGCCGCUGCAGGAUCCUGCAAUUCGGCCCGAUUGUGUUUUUUAUCAGUCUUGCGUUUUGCUAUUUGUCUACUGCAUUGCAUAUUUACAGAAUUGCCAUUGUCUUAAAUUGUUUAUAGCUAAAUAUCCAAGCAUCCAAAAGAAACAUGCCAUAUAUGCAUCUUGCUCAGAUUUUCAUGUUCUUUAAACAGUAUGCAACUUUCCACCAUGUUUAAAAUGUUGUUUGCAAUUAAUUUGCUCUAAUGACAUGUUAAAAUGGUUUAAUUCAUAACUAAAUAACCGUAGCUCGGUUUUAAAUAAUCUUUAUAUGUAAAUGGGGUCGAAAAAUGCCUAGUUUAACAUGGUGCACUCUUCUUGCAUGUUUAACAACUCUAAAAUAUGGUUUAGGGCAGAACAGUACCAAAUCCAUAAAUUGCAUAUGAGGAUUUUUCCGGACUUGUUGCUUGUUGUUCCGACCUCAUUUAAACUUGCCUAGAUAGGUAGUUUUAUUAUGCUUCACCUCUUGCCAUGUUUAACAACAUUUAAUAUUGAUGGUACCUAAACGAGAGAGAACUAAAUAAGUCAUGUGGUGUUUCGUCAAUAUGCAACUCGUUGCAUAUUGAGCUACACUUAAUUUGUAGUGUUGUUUGUUGCACUUUGCCAUGCCAUGCCUCAUUAAACCGGACAUGCAUCAUACUUGGUUGUGCAUCAUGCCAUGUUUAUGUGAUGGUUGUUUACCAUGUUGUUUGCUUCUUUCCGGUGUUGCUUCUUCGGGUUAGUUCCGAUAACGUCGUGUUUGUGAGGAUUCGUUCGACUACGUCCGCUUGUCUUCUUCAUGGACUCGUUCUUCUUCCUUGCGGGAUCUCAGGCAAGAUGACCAUACCCUCGAAAUCACUUCUAUCUUUGCUUGCUAGUUGUUCGCUCUAUUUCUAUGCCGCGCUACCUACCACUUGCUAUAUCAUGCCUCCCAUAUUGCCAUGUCAAGCCUCUAACCAUCCUUUCCUAGCAAACCGUUGCUUGGCUAAGUUACCGCUUUUGCUCAGCCCCUCUUAUAGCGUUGCUAGUUGCAGGUGAAGAUGAAGAUUGCUCCAUGUUGGAUUAUGUUUAUGUUGGGAUAUCACAAUAUCUCUUAUUUUAUUAAUGCAUCUAUAUACUUGGUAAAGGGUGGAAGGCUCGGCCUUAUGCCUGGUGUUUUGUUCCACUCUAGCUGCCCUAGUUUCCGUCAUAUCGGUAUUAUGUUCCCGGAUUUUGCGUCCCUAACGCGGUUGGGUGUUAUGGGAACCCCUUGACAGUUCGCCUUGAAUAAAACUCCUCCAGCAAGGCCCAACAUUGGUUUUACCAUUUGCCUACCUACCACCUAUACCUUUCCCUUGGGAGUAAUUAACCUGAGGGUCAUCUUUAUUUUAGCCCCCCGGGCCAAUGCUUCUCCAAGUGUUGGUCCGAACUAGAGCCACUUGCAGCGCCACCUCGGGGAAACUUGAGGGCUGGUUUUAGUUGUACGUAGUGCACAUCCGGUCGUGGCCUGAGACGAGAUACGCGCGACUACUAUCAGGGUGUCGGCACGCCGGGAGGUCUUGCUGGUCUUGUUUUACCAUUGUCGAAAUGUCUUGUAACCGGGAUUCCGAGACUGAUCGGGUCGUUCCGGGAGAAGGAAUAUCCUUCGUUGAUCGCGAGAGCUUAUCAUGGGCUAAGUUGGGACACCCCUGCAGGGUUUGAACUUUCGAGAGCCGUGCCCGCGGUUAUCUGGCAGAUGGGAAUUUGUUAAUGUCCGGUUGUAGAGAACUUGACACUUGACUUAAUUAAAAUACACCAACCGCGUGUGUAGCCGUGAUGGUCUCUUCUCGGCGGAGUCCGGGAAGUGAACACGGUCUUGUGUUAUGUAUGCCUCCUUAUUACGCGCAAAAUAAUGAUUCCUCCACCUGACAGCAGGGACCCACCGGACGGGUCACCGUAUUUCGCGAAAAAAACGUUUCCCCCUGACUGCUGGGACCCACCAGCUACAUCUUCGCACGCAAGGAAGUGCGUCCAUAUUACGGGCAAAAAAUGAUUUGCCCCCCUGACUGCUGGGACCCACCAGCUACAUGUUCGCACGCAAGGAAGUGCCUGACAGUCGGGACCCACCUGGUCGAAGCGUACGUAUCGUUGUCAUUCUAGUGGCGAACGUGUACGUACACACUGGUCGAUCGGUCUGUCUGCAGGCUGCAGCGAUGAACCGUGGCUGUGUAAGGAAGGGCACGUGUCAUAGUAUAGGUGCGCACGUAGCAUGUACACAUACGUACAGCGGCCAGGGUGCAAUAAAGUAAAUACGGCCACGUACGUACAUACGGGCGGGGUCUCGAAUGCCUACUCACGCAUACGUACGACCAGGGCUCGUGUACAUGGCUGGGUCGGAAUGGAGAAGCUGCACCGUCGUAGUGAUCAUGGGGAGGCAACCGGCUGGGUCGGAACGGAAUGCGUCGUCGUGUUCAUCGGAAGCCAACCGGCUUGGACGGAACAACCGAUGGAAACGAGGCGUGGCAUACCACAGAACAGAGGAAACGGCCUUGGUUCGACCGGCCAUGGUCGAAACGGGAUCCUGUUCAUCGGGAGGGGUCUAGCGUACCGCAAAACGGAGGAAAUGGACCUCCUACGGUCGAAACGAGGUCCUGUUGAUCGGGAGGGGUGUGGCAUACCGCAAAACGGAGAAAACAGACUUGUGUUGGAGUGCUACGGUCGAAACGGGGGUCCUGUUCAUCGGGAGGGGUGUGGCGUACCGCAAAACGGGACUCCACGGGAUACUAGUCAUCUCCACCGUCGACCUCCUCCAGCCUCCGCGGGCUACUGUUCAUCCACCGUCGACCUCCUCCAGCAUCCACCUGCAACUGUUCAUCCACAGGCUCCUGUUCAUCCAGUUUCCACCGCGUGCUCCUCCAUCGGCUACUGUUCAACCAACCCUCUCCACGGGGUCCUGUUCAACCACCCCUCCACGGGCUACUAUUCAUCCAGCCCUCCACCGGCCACUGUUCAACCAGCCCUCCACGGGGUCCUGUUCAUCCAGCCCUCCAUGGGGUCCUGUUCAUCCAUCAGCUCGAUCGAUCGGGGUCCUGUUCAUCCAGCGGCAACGACCUCUACUACCACGGGGUCCUGUUCAUCCAACCCCCACCGGGAACUAUUCAUCCAAACCCCCUCAACAACGCACACUGUUCAUCAAGGGAAGGAGGCAACAAUGUUCGAUCGGCUUUAGUUAGCAGCAGUAGCGAAGGAAUCACUCGGGUUCAGUUAACAGCAAGGGAUCGAUCGAUCGCUCGGGUUCAGUAACGCGUAGCCUGCAGUGCAAUCGCUCGGGUUCAGUUAGAGCUCAACGCGUCGCUUGGGUUCAGUUAGAGCCCAAUGCCUCGCACACACGCGCGUACGUACGAGAGAAACGCGCAUCGCUCGGCCCCCGACCACCCACCGUAACCGGGAACUCCCCGAUAUUUUCCGCGCCCUCGCUUCUACCACGGUUUUUCCGUCAUGGAUGGCCCAAAGAAUGUCAUGCGGCUGCGUCUCCGGCCCGCCCAGGAUGAAAAGCCCAUUUUCUGUCAUGAUUUUUUGUCAUAGAAGUAGGACCCCACCACAUCUAUGAUGAUACCGGGUUUUGUCACAAUUAUCGUCAUAGGAGUGUCAUAAGUAUGACAGAAAAAAAUUCGUUUGGCCCAAAAUGUCACAGAUGUGUCUUUUUUUGUAGUGUUAGCAUGUUGAUCGUUCAGUUUUAUUGCUAUUGCUUUCUUCAUGACUUAUACAUGUUCCUCUGACUAUGAGAUUAUGCAACUCCCGGAUACCGGAGGAACACCUUGUGUGCUAUCAAACGUCACAACGAAACUGGGUGAUUACAAAGAUGCUCUAUAGGUGUCUCCGAAGGUGUUUGUUGGGUUGGAAUAGAUCAAGAUUAGGAUUUGUCACUCCGUGUAUCGGAGAGGUAUCUCUGGGCCCUCUCGGUAAUGCACAUCUCUAUAAGCCUUGCAAGCAAUGUGACUAAUGAGUUAGUUACGGGAUGAUGCAUUACGGGACGAGUAAAGAGACUUGCCGGCAACGAGAUUGAACUAGGUAUGAGGAUACCGACGAUCGAAUCUCGGGCAAGUAACAUACCGAUGACAAAGGGAACAACGUAUGUUGUUAUGCGGUUUGACCGAUAAAGAUCUUCAUAGAAUAUGUAGGAGCCAAUAUGAGUAUCCAGGUUCCGCUAUUGGUUAUUGACCGGAGAUGUGUCUUGGUCAUGUCUACAUAGUUCUCGAACCCGUAGGGUCGGCACGCUUAAUGUUUGAUGACGAUUUGUAUUAUGAGUUAUGUGAUUUGAUGACCGAAGUUUGUUCGGAGUCCCGGAUGAGAUAACGGACAUGACGAGGAGUCUCAAUGGUCGAGACGUAAAGAUCGAUAUAUUGGAAGGCUAUAUUCGGACAUCGGAAAGGUUCUGAGUGGUUCGGGUAUUUUUCGGAGUACCGGAGAGUUACGGGAAUUCGCCGGGGGAAGUAUUGGGCCUUAAUGGGCCAUACGGGAAAGGAGAGAAGGGCCUCAAGGGGUGGCCGCGUGCCCCCCCAUGGGCUGGUCCGAAUUGGACUAGGAGGGGGCGGUGCCCCCUCUCCUUCCUUCUCCCCUCUUUCUCCUUCCCUUCGUUCUCCAAGUUGGAAUAGGAAAGAAGGGGCUGAAUCCUACAUGGACCGGGAGUCCAAGUAGGACUCCCCCCUUGGUGCGCCCCCUCUAGGGCCAGCCUCCUCUUCCUCCCUCCUUUAUAUACGUGGGCAGGGGGCACCCCAAAAGCACUCUAAGAUUUGUCUUAGCCGUGUGCGGUGCCCCCCUCCACAGUUACACACCUCGGUCAUAUCGUCGUAGUGCUUAGGCAAAACCCUGCACCGGUAACUUCAUCAUCACCGUCACCACGCCGUCGUGCUGAUGGAACUCUCCCUCGGCCUCAACUGGAUCAAGAGUUCAAGGGACGUCAUCGAGCUGAACGUGUGCAGAUCGCGGAGGUGCUGUGUGUUCGAUACUUGGAUCGGUUGGAUCGCGAAGACGUUCGACUACAUCAACCGCGUUACUAAACGCUUCCGCUUUCGGUCUACGAGGGUACGUGGACACAUUCUCCCCGCUCGUUGCUAUGCUUCUCCUAUAUAGAUCUUGCGUGAUCGUAGGAAUUUUUUUGAAAUACUACGUUCCCCAAAAGUGGUAUCAGAGCUAGGUCUAUGCGUAGAUGUUAUAUGCACGAGUAGAACACAAAGAGUUCUGGGCGAUAAUAGUCAUACUGCUUACCAGCAUGUCAUACUUUGAUUCGGCGGUAUUGUUGGAUGAAGCGGCCCAGACCGACAUUACAUGACCGCGUUCAUGAGACUGGUUCUACCGCCGUGCUUAGCACAUAGGUGGAUAGUGGGUAUCUGUUUCUGCAAAUUUAGUCGAAUCAAGUGUGACUACGCCCGGUCCUUGUUGAAGGUUAAAACAUCACACUUGACGAAAAAUCGUUGUGGUUUUGAUGCGUAGGUAAGAUCGGUUCUUGCUAAGCCCGUAGCAGCCACGUAAAACUUGCAACAACAAAGUAGAGGACGUCUAACUUGUUUUUGCAGGGCAUGUUGUGAUGUGAAAUGGUCAAGACGUGAUGAUAUAAAUUGUUGUAUGAGAUGAUCAUGUUUUGUAAUAGAGUUAUCGGCAACUGGCAGGAGCCAUAUGGUUGUCGCUUUAUUGUAUGCAAUGCAAUCGCCAUGUAAUUGCUUUACUUUAUCACUAAGUGGUAGCGAUAGUCGUGAUAGCACUAGUUGGCGAGAUGACAACGAUGCUUCGAUGGAGAUCAAGGUGUCAAGCCGGUGACGAUGGUGAUCAUGAUGGUGCUUUGGAGAUGGAGAUCAAAGGCACAAGAUGAUGAUGACCAUAUCAUAUCACUUAUAUUGAUUGCAUGUGAUGUUUAUCCUUUAUGCAUCUUAUUUUGCUUAGUUCGGCGGUAGCAUUAUAAGAUGAUCUCUCACUAAAUUUCAAGGUAUAAAUGUUCUCCCUGAGUAUGCACCGUUGCGACAGUUCGUCGUGCCGAGAUACCACGUGAUGAUCGGGUGUGAUAAGCUCUACGUUCACAUACAACGGGUGCAAGCCAGUUUUGCACACGCAGAAUACUCGGGUUAAACUUGACAAGCCUAGCAUAUGCAGAUAUGGCCUCGGAACACUGAGAGCGAAAGGUCGAGCGUGAAUCAUAUAGUAGAUAUGAUCAACAUAGUGAUGUUCACCAUUGAAAACUACUCCAUCUCACGUGAUGAUCGGACAUGGUUUAGUUGAUUUGGAUCACGUGAUCACUUAGAUGAUUAGAGGGAUGUCUAUCUAAGUGGGAGUUCUUAAGUAAUAUGAUUAAUUGAACUUUAAUAUAUCGUGAACUUAGUACCUGAUAGUAUUUUGCAUGUCUAUGUUGUUGUAGAUCAAUGGCCUGUGCUACUGUUCCUUUGAAUUUUAAUGCGUUCCUAGAGAAAGCUAAGUUGAAAGAUGAUGGUAGCAACUACACGGACUGGGUCCAUAACUGGAGGAUUAUCCUCAUUGCUGCACAGAAGAAUUACGUCCUGGAAGCACCGCUAGGUGCAAGACCCGCUGCAGGAGCAACGCCGGACGUUAUGAACGCCUGGCAGAGCAAAGCUGAUGACUACUCGAUAGUUUAGUGUGCCAUGCUUUACGGCUUAGAACCGGGACUUCAACGACGUUUUGAACGUCAUGGAGCAUAUGAGAUGUUCCAGGAGUUGAAGUUAAUAUUUCAAGCAAAUGCUCAGAUUGAGAGAUAUGAAGUCUCCAAUAAGUUCUAUAGCUGUUAAAUGGAGGAGAAUAGUUCUGUCAGUGAACAUAUACUCAAAAUGUCUGGGUAUCAUAAUCACUUGACUCAAUUGGGAGUUAAUCUUCCAGUUGAUAGUGUCAUUGACAGAGUUCUUCAAUCAGUGCCACCAAGCUACAAAAGCUUCAUGAUGAACUAUAAUAUGUAAGGGAUGGAUAAGACAAUUCCUGAGCUCUUCGCAAUGCUAAAGGUUGCGGAGGUAGAAAUCAAAAAAGGAGCAUCAAGUGUUGAUGGUCAAUAAGACCACCAGUUUCAAGAAAAAGGGUAAAGGGAAGAAGGGGAACUUCAAGAAGAACGGCAAGCAAGUUGCUAUUCUAGUGAAGAAGCCCAAGUCUGGACCUAAGCCUGAGACUGAGUGCUUCUACUGCAAAGGGACUGGUCACUGGAAGCGGAACUGCCCCAAGCAUUUGGCGGAUAAGAAGGAUGGCAAAGUGAACAAAGGUAUAUGUGAUAUACAUGUUAUUGAUGUGUACCUUACUAAUGCUCGUAGUAGUACCUGGGUAUUUGAUACUGGUUCUGUUGCUAAUAUUUGCAACUCGAAACAGGGACUAUGGAUUAAGCGAAGAUUGGCUAAGGACGAGGUGACGAUGCGCGUGGGAAAUGGUUCCAAAGUCGAUGUGAUCGCCGUCGGCACGCUACCUCUACAUCUACCUUCGGGAUUAGUUUUAGACCUGAAUAAUUUUUAUCUUGUGCCAACGUUAAGCAUGAACAUUGUACCUGGAUCUUGUUUGAUGCGAGACGGUUAUUCAUUUAAAUCUGAGAAUAAUGGUUGUUCUAUUUAUAUGAGUAAUAUCUUUUAUGGUCAUGCACCCUUGAAGAGUGGUCUAUUUUUGUUGAAUCUCGAUAGUAGUGAUACACAUAUUCAUAAUAUUGAAGCCAAAAGAUGCAGAAUUGGUAAUGAUAAUGCAACUUAUUUGUGGCACUGCCGUUUGGGUCAUAUCGGUGUAAAGCGCAUGAAGAAACUCCAUAUUGAUGGACUUUUGGAAUCACUUGAUUAUGAAUCACUUGGUACUUGCGAACCAUGCCUCAUGGGCAAGAUGACUAAAACUCCGUUCUCCGGAACAAUGGAGCGAGCAACAGAUUUAUUGGAAAUAAUACAUACUGAUGUAUGCGGUGCGAUGAAUAUUGAGGCUCGCGGCGGGUAUCGUUAUUUCCUGACCUUCACAGAUGAUUUUAGUAGAUAUGGGUAUAUCUACUUGAUGAAACAUAAGUCUGAAACAUUUGAAAAGUUCAAAGAAUUUCAGAGUGAAGUGGAAAAUCAUCGUAACAAGAAAAUAAAGUUUCUGCCAUCUGAUCGUGGAGGAGAAUAUUUGAGUUAGGAGUUUGGUCUUCAUUUGAAACAAUGCAGAAUAGUUUCGCAACUCACGCCACCUGGAACACCACAACGUAAUGGUGUGUCCGAACGUCAUAACCGCACUUUAUUAGAUAUGGUGCGAUCCAUGAUGUCUCUUACUGAUUUACUGCUAUCGUUUUGGGCUUAUGCUUUAGAGACGGCUGCAUUCACGUUAAAUAGGGCACCAUCUAAAUCCGUUGAGACGACACCUUAUGAACUGUGGUUUGGCAAGAAACCCAAGUUGUCGUUUCUUAAAGUUUGGGGCUGCGAUGCUUAUGUGAAAAAGCUUCAACCUGAUAAGCUCGAACCCAAAUCGGAGAAAUGUGUCUUCAUAGGAGACCCAAAAGAGAUUGUUGGGUACACCUUCUAUCACAGAUCCGAACGCAAGAUAUUUGUUGCUAAGAAUGGAUCCUUUUUAGAGAAGGAGUUUCUCUCGAAAGAAGUGAGUGGGAGGAAAGUAGAACUUGAUGAGGUAACUGUACCUGCUCCCUUCUUGGAAAGUAGUUCAUCACAGAAAUCAGUUCCUGUGAUUCCUACACCAAUUAGUGAGGAAGCUAAUGAUGAUGAUCAUGUAACUUCAGAUCAAGUUACUAUCACGACCGGUUUUCCAAUAAAAAUAUUUAUUGAGAAACCGAUCCCUUUUACGGACCAGUAGAGAAGAAUCCUUCUCACUGGUAGACAAUUUCUUGAUCACAGAAGAGAAACCAGGGGUACUAAAUAUAAUACAAGGUUGAGCGGAGACUGCUCAACAAUUUUAUUACAUGCACGCCGAUAUUACACAUAACAGCGGAUAUGGUGGCAUAACUACUGACACACAAAUAAACGCGAUGGUGGAUAUGUCACAGUGAAGUGGGUGACAUGACUCCUAAAUCUUACAGCUCAUCGAGCGUCGGAGUGAGGCUCGAGGAUUCUUAUUGCGCGUGGCGGAAGCGCAUAUAACACAAGUGACCAAUAUCCAGGAUCGCACGGGACUGACUGGGACUCCUCUAGGCGUCGGACUCACUAUCAAACUCUUCAUCCAUGAGAUCGCCUUCGUCAACAUCUGGCCAAAUCAACAAGCCAGGUGAGUACUAUGAAAGUACUCGCAAGACAGUUUGGACAUAAGAUAUAACAAAUGCAAACAUGAUGCAUAUGAACAGAUUAAUAACGCGCACUCAGACAAUGAGAUAGCAAUGCAUGGGAAAUAAAAGGAAGUCGGGCGGUAGUCCUCCCGAAAUCCCAACGUAAUGCUGAAGGCCAAUCGAGUGUCUGAAAGACUCCUCGAAAGGAUACAAAUAAAAUAACAAUGCCGCAGUCGGGCGUCAAGGCGACACCACAUAAAGGGCUUAUAAUGGAAUAUAAAUGACAGUGCGUGCCACAGUCGGACAUCUGAGCGACAUCACGUAAAGGGCUUAUAUCAAAAGUAAAUAACGAGCGUGCCACAGUCGGACGUCUGAGCGACAUCACAUAAAGGGCUUAUAUCAAAAGUAAAUGACAAGAGUGCCACAGUCGGACGUCUGAGCGACAUCACAUAAAGGGCUUAUAUCAAAAGUAAAUGACAAGAGUGCCACAGUCGGACGUCUGAGCGACAUCACAUAAAGGGCUUAUAUUUCAUGACUUGAUAUUUCAGUAGCUCAUGAAUUUAAAUCAUUUCAAGGAAAUACUCAGGUACGAAAUAAUAAACCGGUUAGUCCAUCCACAGGAAUAACAUUCAACAGAGUUUACCACUCAAGCUUGUUUACCGGGGAUUUCCACGGAAACUGACACGGGGACUGACAUGAAUGUGGAUGUGUUGGCCACGGUCCUUGACCAUGGACACGAUGACUCGGAAGGAUUUGACUCUGCAGAGUUUGUACUAUUUAACCACAGCCAACGGAUUUCAGUAGUCACAAGGGACUAGUUCCGUUUACGGUGUUUUAGGAGAAACACAUCUAACUAGUACAAACCCAUUCAACAUUCCGAUGCCAGGAAUCACCCUCGGCAACGUUCAAGAAAAACCUUGAGACGGGGAGGCUACAACCUCGCGUAGCAUGGGAUCAAAUUUAUACCGCGCGCUCUAAGGGGUGCCCCCCUCUCGGUCCCAACCGAAAACACCCAUGCCCCCUGACCGGAUGACUGGCUUUAAUCCAGGGCCAUGGAACCCUCAUCCCGACCCCUCUAUUUGGUGUGUACAAGGAAAGAGGUUAGCAACUUACUAAACCGUAUUCUUUGCAGAAACCAUGUGGCAGCACGAAAGGGGAAGAAUGGUAACGUGGCUCAGUCCACGUUAACGUCGGAAUUUAUCGGAUGACGUAAGACUGGCAUGCUACAACAAUACCAUCUUACUACCUUUCAUGUCACCACAUGAUCAGGUCAUCUCUCAUCGAAGAUCACAGUAACUUCGAAGCACACGGUUAGUUGCCUUGCAUGCAACUUAAUACUCACCGAUGCUCAUAUGCCAUGCUCAAACCAAUCAAGCAAACAUGCAAAACACUCAUCAUAUCAAAGGUUCAAACAUGCUUGCCUGGUUCGGAGAAGUCGGAGUCUAGCUCGGCGAAGUUCGCGGCUCCUUCACCUCCUCCGGAACCUACGGUAUAACGAAACCGUAUACUAACGUGAAAACCGUUGCGUGUAUAAAAAUUGUUCCAAAUUUUUUCCAAAUAAAUACUAUAAAAAACUAGACAAAAAUAUAAGACUGAAAGAAAAAGAAUCAAUCAAAAAGCAUCUUCUGUUUAAAAUAUAUAAGGGUUUUAGUCCAAGGACUGAUCUGUGAUGAAACAGAAAAGAUCCAGGGGCUUGUUUGAGAAAACAGAAAACGGUUCGGUAUGAAAUACGCCAGCCCAGAGAGAAAACACGUUUUGCCCGAAGGCGCUUUCAGAAAACGGUUCGAAGGGGAAAAGAAGAGAGGCUGACGGGGGGGUCCCACCCGUCAGGUUCAAAUCUUCUAACGGAGCUCGCCGGCGCCCGAAGGCUGCGGUGGUCGCCGGCGUUGAACCACGGCGAGGCAGAGUGAUCGGAGGGUACCUACGGGUUCAGGGUGUUCUUCCGCGUCGGUGGGUGGUGGACUUGACCGUCGGUGAGCACCACGUCGACGGCGACACUAUCUCCGGCGGACGGUGGUUCGGGCGAUGGUGGAGCUCUCCAGUGGGUGCUGCAAGCUUCAAAUUGAUGCGCGGGUCAGAAGGGUGGAUGCACUAGGAGACUACUUGCAAGAGUUGAGGGGUAGGGGUGCACGCACGGGGGUGAAUCGAGCUGGGUCCCGAAGCGGGUCGAGGCGGCCGGAGUUGGGGAAGAAGACUCCCUCGGGGCUCUUCCAGUGGCUUGGCGUGGUACUGGUGGUGUGUAGAGGUGGUGCGGGUUCGAGUUCGGGCUCGGGGCCUCCUUUUAUAGGCGAUCCGAGGGGGUGGCCGUGAACGGGAUAACGCCGGUGAGAAAUUACGGCGAGGCAGAGGUUGGGCAGGGGUUUUAGGUGGCUAGGCAUCACCGUGGAGGAUCACUGGUGCCAUUCCUCUGCUAAACCUCGGCCGGGCUUGGUGUAAUACGUCGGUCCUCGACGGAAUGGCCGUACGGGCACGGCGGUGGCAGGGAGCGUGCUCCGCGCCUACCAGUUCACGACGACGGACUGCAGCGUGCACGGGUGAGUGGAUGGCCACGCGGUGGCCCCUGGUGGCUUGGGCGGCGCUGGACGGCGCCGUCCAACGCUGCACCUCUCUGGCAGCCGCAAAGGGCGCUGCUGCCGUCGCUCACGGGGUGGCGCACCUCCACCAGCUCGUCGCUGAAGCCCGCAAGCUUCCAGGCGAUCGUGCGGCGCAGGGAUAAGAAGGAGGGGACAGGGAGCAAGGCGCCACCGAGGCUACUGGCGAGAUCGAGGAAAGGUUCUGAAGAAAACGACAGCAGCUUCUGAAACUGUUUACUGAACUUUCUGAAUUUGACAGUAACAGUGUCCUUCAGGUGUUCGACGAAAUGAUUUGGCAUGAAGAAUUUUUUUUCUGGAGCUGGGGCUUGGUGAGGUGACCUCUCAAUGCAUCCAGAGGCUGCCUGAAUUUUCUCAGAUUUUUAGGAGGAGAAAACAAAUGAAUUUCAUCAAAUUUGACAAAUAUGGUCCAAACUUGCAGCAAGCAAAAUUUGAAAUAUUUGAACUGGAGACCAGUGGAUCUUCAUGGAUCUUGGUUGAGGGCUCUAAGGACUAGCCAGGGAAAUUGGUUUGGAGGCAAAACUCAAAGGAGAAAAGGUAGUUCCUUUGUAAAUCUUCAAGAGCCAAAGUAGAAGGUAGAAAAUAUUUUUGAUAAGAAAUAAAUGGAAGAAAAAUCAUGGGGGAGUUCAACUUGCUGGAUUUGAAGUUAUUUUGACACAAAGAUGGGGAAUGGCUUUUGGGAGGGGAUUUCCACUUAGGUCAUGGCAAGAGGAGAUUUUGAAAGGGGAAAAGAUCACUCCAAAUGCCAUAGGGCUAUUUAAAAGGAUUUUCAAAAAUUUUCCCAAAUGAAAAACAUUUGUGAUGAGUCAACAUAAGAUGGAAAAACCUCCAAGGCCAAAGAUCAAGUCUUGGGUAAAUCCAAACAAAAUACUUGACAUAAAAGAAAUUUUUUGAGAGGGAGAGUUCUUUAGAAGAAAAUUUUAAGUAACCUCCCUCAAAUCAAAUAAAAGUUAAAAAAAAGCCAAAUAAAAUUUUUGGGUGUCACAGUUACCGAACCUUGUAGGUCAACCAGAGUAAGAUCCGCACCAGAGUGGUACGGUAAUCCUAUUCUGGAGGUCAUGUUACUUGACCAUGAUGAACCUACGAACUAUGAGGAAGCGAUGAUGAGCCCAGAUUCCGCAAAAUGGUUUAAGGCCAUGAAAUCUGAGAUAGGAUCCAUGUAUGAGAACAAAGUAUGGACUUUGGUGGACUUGCCCGAUGAUCGGCAAGCCAUUGAGAAUAAAUGGAUCUUCAAGAGGAAGACAGACACCGAUGGUAGUGUUACUAUCUACAAAGAUCGACUUGUCGAAAAAGGUUUUUGACAAGUUCAAGGUGUUGACUACGAUGAGAUUUUCUCACUCGUAGCAAUGCUUAAGUCUGUCCGAAUCAUGUUAGCAAUUGACACAUUUUAUGAAAUCUGGCAAAUGGAUAACAAAACUGCAUUCCUUAAUGGAUUUAUUAAAUAAGAGUUGUAUAUGAUGCAACUAGAAAGGCUUUGUCAAUCCUAAAGGUGCUAACAAAAUGUGCAAGCUCCAGCGAUCCAUCUAUGGACUGGUGCAAGCAUCUCGGAGUUGGAACAUACGCUUUGAUAAGUUGGUCAAAGCAUAUAGUUUUAUAUAGACUUGUGGUGAAGCCUGUUGAGGGAGUCCUGGACUAAGGGGUCCUUGGGCGUCCGGCCAGUUAUCUGUUGGGCCGGACUGAUGGUCUAUGAAGACAUGAAGGCCGAAGACUAUACCCGUGUCUGGAUUGGACUCUACUUGGCGUGGAAGGCAAGCUAGGCGACCGAUUAUGAAGAUUUCCUCCUAUGUAACCGACUCCAUGUAACCCUAGAUCUCUCCAGUGUCUAUAUAAACCGGAGGGCAUAGUCCGGAUAGGUCAGAUUCAUUACCAUAUACUCAUAGGCUAGACUUCUAGGGUUUAACCAUUACGAUCUCGUGGUAGAUCAACUCUUGUAACACUCAUAUUCAUCAAGAUCAAUCAAGCAGGAAGUAGGGUGUUACCUCCAUAGAGAGGGCCCGAACCUGGGUAAACAUUGUGUCCCCUGUGUCCUGUUACCAUCGAUCCUAGACGCACAGUUCGGGACCCCCUACCCGAGAUCCGCCGGUUUUGACACCGACAUUGGUGCUUUCAUUGAGAGUUCCACUAUGUCGUCGACGAGAGGUUCGAUGGCUCCUUUAAUCGUCAGUCAUGACGUGGUCCAGGGAGAAACCUUCCUCCCUGGACAGAUCUUCGUAUUCGGCUUCGUACUACGGGCCAACUCGCUCGACCAUCUGGAGCAGAUCGACAGCUACGCCCCUGGCCAUCAGGUCAGAUUCGGAAGUUUGAACUACGUCGCGGACAUCCGUGGGGACUUGAUCUUCGACGAAUUUGAGACCGCGGCAACCGCUCCCCUUCGCCCCGUUGAACAUGGCUUAAACCUGUCCUUGGGCCGCAUCCAGGAGAUAGCUCCUAUAACAACUCUGGCCUUAGAUCCGGAGCAGAUCAAGACGUUCGAAGGUGGGAGACUCAACCCCAUCAUGAGGGCCACCGAGUCCGUGGCAUUGGGGCCACGCGCAGAUCCCUCUUCAUACAAUACCUGCACCAACGGAACCCCGGACUCGUCUCCGAUAUCGAGUUCCGAACCCUGCGAGCCCGUGGAUACCGAACUCGAUCGGUUAUCGAUCUUCAAGUUCAGCGCCGCGGACAUCUUCCAAUACUCGCCCAUGGGCGACCUACUAAACUCACUAAAAAACCUAUCCCUAGCAGACGGCUCACCGCCGAACUAUGUUCGGUUCGACCUUACGGCGGAUGAUGGAGAAUUUUGCUUCCCACCCGCCACCCACUUCAUAGCCACCGUCGAAGACCCAACCAACACGCCUGGCCUCUGCCCCGAAGACAUCGACGGUCUAGACGAUGAUGAGGGGCAGGGCCAGAACUUACUAUCCGCUAGACGCGGGACGACCACUUCCUGGUAGGACGCGUGCAUGGUAGACACACCCAACGACGAUCUCGACGAUGACAAGGAGGAUCCAGUCGAGGAUAAGCCUCCUGGUACACAGUCCGAACACCCGCGCCCCCCGCGCCACUCUCAGUCAUGCCACUCAAGAGAAAACAAUACUAGCACCGGAGGUGAUAAUACACCGGACAACGAAGACCCUGUUGAGGCAGGAUACGAACAGGAGGACCAGGAAAGCGGGGAAGAUAGCCCCGAUGAACAGGUCAUGUACGGAGACUCGAAGGAUAGUAAUUAUCUUCCCCUCUCCGAGGAGGAGGAGAGCCUCGACAACGAAGAAUUCAUCGUGCCGGAGGAACCUCUCGAGCAUGAGCGCUUUAAAUGCCGGCUAAUAGCCACAGCAAGGAAUCUAAGAAUAAAACAGCUGCAGCUUCAAGCAAGCCAAGAUCUGCUCAAUGAUAAAUGGACCGAGGUCCUAGCCACCAUAGAAUACGGCCCUAGUGGCCCGGACAAAAGCCACCCCAAGAACAGGUGGCUCCCUCCACAUGAAGGGAAGGCGUUGGAGCCCAUUCCACCAUUGAACAAUGCGGCAGGUCGACCACAGUUCGGUCCGGAUAAAGCAGCAGCCCAAGCAGAACAGCAUACUAACCAAUACGGCCGUAAGAACAACACGGUUCGGGAAAACAAUCGUGACAUCCGCCAAAGCUUAGUGGGCGGAGCAGGAGAGAUAAGAUCGACGUACAGAUCAAGGGGAUAUGCCCCGACCGGUGAUGAUGGUCAAUCAGCCGGACUUAACCGAGCCAACCACGCUUGAGGCCGCCAACGGCAUCCAACGGAGGUGCUUCACAGUUGUCGGCAUUCUGGGAACGGGGGUCCCCAGACUUGCCUGCCUGCGGCCCAUGGCGAGGCUAAGUCAGCGGGCCAUACGGCCCAUCUUCAUCAACGAGGCAUCCAAGACCCUCGUGAGCCAGACGAUGCAAGACCUCCUCAGGAGGGGCCUGGCCAGGCAGGCUCACGAGGAGCGGAGAUAUCAAGGCGGGGCAAACCUCAUGAGGCUCUCGUGACAUGAGCCAUGACGAUCGAGAGCAGGCGGGCGCCAGCGCGCGCAGCGUCCUUGUUUCCUCUUUGGUGCUAAGGAGGCCAGCGCAGGCGAGGAGUACCGAGGCAUCAGGCAAAGGUUGCCUUAUCGGUGCAACCAGACCAAGAUCAGAAGGACGGCAGGACGGAGGUCACCGUGGAGCCCAAGACGACAUCACCACCAGAGCCUUUGCAGGCGAAGACCACUUUUGUCAGGAUAGCUUGUACUAGCUGUCCCCCUUCAAAUUUGCCCGCCGUUGUUGGCUCCCUUCCCGCUCCAUAUUUGGGAAGAGGACCAGGGCCUAUAUAAGUAGAGCUAGCCACCACCGUAGGAGAUAACUCAUUCAGAGGCAUCUCACCCACACAAGUUCAUCGAGCACAAGAACACCUCAACCUCAGGAGGCUGUUCUGCCCCUUGUACUGUUCAUCAUCAGCCCAAGAGGCAAUCCACCACCACCACACUGGAGUAGGGUAUUACACCACAACAGUGGCCCGAACCAGUAUAAAUCUCGUGCCUUUCUGUGUUGUGAGUUGGUCGAGUUUGUCCGCGAGAUCUUAGCGAGCUAGGGCGUGGAUUGGUAGGAGGGAAAGAGCUUCACGCGCACCCCAGAGUUCGAACCUUAAGGGUUUUGCCGGAACCCCACAUCUGACAACAGUGUGGCCCAACAUAGAGGAGCCGCACACCCUCUUUGCUUCACCAACGAGGUAAUGGAGCACCACGGGUUUAAACCCAUCAACAUCGCAUCAUACGACGGAACAACAGAUCCCGCAGUAUGGAUUGAGGAUUACUCCUCCAUAUCCACCUGGCUCGCAUAGAUGACCUUCAUGCCAUUAAAUACCUGCCUCUCAAGCUUAAGGGUCUAGCGCGGUACUGGCUACACAGUUUGCCAGAAAAUUCUAUUGGCAGCUGGGAAGAUUUGGAAGACGCCUUUCAUGACAACUUCCAAGGAACAUAUGUCCGGCCAUCCGAUGCCAAUGACUUAAGUCACAUUGUCCAACAGCCCGGCGAGUCAGUCAGGGAACUCUGGACUAGGUUCUUAGUCAAAAAGAACCAAAUUGUCGACUGUUCGGACGUGGAAGCCCUUGCGGCCUUCAAAGACACCGUCCGGGAUGAAGGGCUAGCACGUCACCUCGGCCAGGAAGGACCUAAAUCCAUGACAGCCCUUACCGCUCUAAUGACUCGCUUUUGUGCGGGAGAAGACAACUGGCUCGCUCGUAAAAGCAACAAUGCCAGCGACCCGGGCACUUCCGAAAUCCGAGACGGCAACGGCAAGCCACGACUAAACGAACACAACAGUCCUGGCAAUAGUGAAAGAUUACGCGACACAUCGGUCAACGCAGGAUUUCACAAUCCGAAAACCGGUCAACGGAAGAAGCCAUUUAAGGCAAACCAGGAUGGACCAUCCACCCUCGACAGGAUAUUGGACCGACCUUGUCAAAUUCAUGGCCACCCUGAUAAGCCAGCUAAUCACACCAACAGAAACUGUUGGGUCUUUAAGCAAGCAGGCAAACUUAACGCCGAACGCAAUGGGAGGAGGCCACUAGGCGAUAAAGAUGACGGAUCGGCUCGCCAGCUGAACAUCAGGGGCCAGAAACAGUUUCCCUCCGAAGUUCGACCACUCCCAGAACGGAAGUAGCAGUUCGGCUUCCGCUACCCACCCGCUAUACCGGCAAGAUUCACACCACGCAUACAUCACUAUGCGCUCAAGAUACCAUGGGCACCGGCGGAAGCACAAUACGGGCAACCCUGCAAACAUUCCCGUAACGUUUUUUAUAUGUUUUCCAUAUUUUUCUUCAUUAUCUCUUAAAAACAGGUGACAAUUAGGACAGCAUCUAGUCGGACUCUAUUGGAGUUCGGACCCGUACACUCACCUAAGGGGCUACUUUCGUUAAGAACUCCCCUCCGAGAGGACGGGCGGCGCAGACGUGCGACAGGAGGUCCAAAAUAGCUUUUUGUAGACCGCACUCGUUAUUUUGAGCCUGUACUAUGCCCUUUUCCUCCGUUCCCGACCCCGAGCAUGUCAAAUAGCCGGGUUGUGGUUCUUCCUUUUUUAUACAAAUUUAUCAUUGGCAUAUUGCUCCACUCCCAGUAAACUUUAUCCGAGCUAACCUUAAAUACUCUGCAUACAAUGAGUACGGCCGUAACGGCUGUGUUACAGGACGCACCUCGGCAUAACUUGCCAGGGGCUCGGUAUGGGAACAAAUGAGUCACCAGUAAAAGUCCAAACAGCUCUAUAGCCUACUUCGGCGUCGCAAGCUUGGCCUUAUAUGCAUCAGCUCCGAAUCAUUGUCUUUGGUCAAUAGAUGGGUUGCCCGGCUCCUGUGUUUGCUACCCUAUGUUCCGCUCUAUCGGCUAGGGUAGUAAAGGGAGAACUACUGUGAUUGUGCCCUGGCUUUGACCGGAUGAGCGCCUCAGUAGAGAAAGCCAAAAACUGACUGUCAUGAUGCGACGAGAGCUGGUCAACCACUUGAUGACUUAUUCGAAUCUUUAGCGAUUCUCCGUGUUACGCGAAGGAUCUUUUUCAGAUCAAAACAUGUAAGGCACAAUAUUAGGAUACGCCGCAUACAUACCAGGGGCUAUGUCGUAGCCCCACCAUAAAACUCCUAUGGCUAAGUGAAAGUGUUAACGCCCUAUAGUCCGAUUGCCUGGUUCGCCGCAUUAUCACCUCCUUUAUGGACCAAGACGUUGGAUAAAGAGUGAUUCAAUGCUCUUCCAAACACCCCCGUAUUUCCUACGAGGGGGCUGAAGCCGACACUGGAAAACUUUCAAUUUAUAUUAAAACGUCCGCACAGGAGGAAUACAAGCUCUCGAGCAAAACAUAAAAAUAGAUUAACUAAAGUUGUCUGUUACAACCCUUGUACACAUCACUCGAAUAUUAUGUUUUUCGAGCACUGACCCUCUAUCAAGCGGGCGGCCUCAAGAAUGUCUUCAAAAUAACGCUCCGGUUCUGGACGGUCCUUGCGUUUGGGUGGACUCCUCGUCGCAACGUCAAUGGCCUUCAUCUUCCCCCAGAAUGUCUUGAGACGGGCGAAGGCCAUCCGUGCACCUUCAAUGCACACCGACCGCUUCACAACAUCGAUACGCGACACCACAUCAGCAAGCCGCUGCACCAGGCCGAAGUAACUACUAGGAACAGGUUCAGUUGGCCACAACCGGACUAUGACGUCCUUCAUGGCCGCGCCACAUAUCCUAUGCAGCUCGACCCACUAGGACAUCUGCUCAUUCGGCAACAGAGGGCACUUCGACGCGCCAAAUUGUGACCAAAAAAGCUUCUCCGUUGCAUACCCCUCUUGCGCAUGAUAAAACUGCGCCGCAUUGGAAGAACUCUUCGACAAAUCUAAAAAAUUGUCCGGAGAACUCCAUACUUGGUUAAGCUGAGCAUAGUUCGGAUCGCCGAACCUAGCCUGUAGAAAAAAGGGCUUGCCAGCCACAAUCUCCCCAGCUUGCCGGAUCUCCUCACGGGCUGCUCUGGCUUCAGACAGCGUUUCUCUCGCCUCUCAUAAGGCCUUGUCAAGUUCAACCAUUUUGGCUUCAUUUUCCUUCUCAAGAAGUUUAUAGCGGCUAGCUGCAUUUUCUAACUUGCGCGCCAUGGUGGACAUCGUCUCCUUGUCUUGACGCCGCGCGGCUUGUUCGGCCUUCAAUUCAGCCGAUGCCUUUUCGGCGGCCGCAUUACUAAACCGGGCCUGCUCCUUGGCCUGGGCUAGCUCCGCCCGAAGGGAUUCCACGGCGGCAGCACCAUCUGCAUUCAUGCACAUUUCAUAUCAAACUCUUUUCAGAGUCAGGCUUAAAUUACAGGCACAUUGGUAUAAGGAAUACUCGAAAUAUAUACCUUGCGAGUCAUCAAGACGCCUGUUGAUCAAAGCAAUGUCAUCCUCCACAAUAUCUAGCUUUCGCUGCAAUUCGGUCACCUCCGAAUUUCGGGCAGUGGCGGGAGGGGAGACAGCCUGCAUUCCAAAUUAAACCAAGGUUAGCACCUGAAAAUAUCUUUUCGAUCCUCCGAUCGCUUCCUUUGGAAGGCGACCCGAGUCUCAGGGGCUACUGCAUACACAACAGGUGCAUUCUGUCCAUAUUAUUCAAUUGGCAACAUUACAUCACAAACCUCAAAACCCCUCGGAAGGCUCGUAAAGGCCUCGUUCAACCCGCUCUUCGUGGAUAAAACCUUUUCGACCACCGUAACCAUUAAGGCACAGUGCUCCUCUGAAAUGGACGCUCGUCGCAGCAUGUCCGUCAGCGUCUCCGGCACUCCUGGGUCUUCGGACACCGCUGCCGGAGCACGACAUUCCUUUGGAGGAAUUCGCUUAGCCGCCUCCAGCAUUGUCUUCGGCUGUAAACUGGACAGUUCGGGGACGUCAUUCUUGAUCCCCAAACCCUGAGUGACAGAGGCACCACCUUCGGAUACCUCCUUCCUCGUUUCCUGCACUACCUGCUGGUUGGGUGGAGCCCUCUGGGACGACACCUCGAGAUUAUCCGCCCUGUUGGGCGAAGAGGCCGGAGAAGGCGUGUCACUCUCCAUCAUCUCUGGAAGAAGGUCUCCUGAGGAGGAGGACAAUUGAGAAACACCAGGUGUUAACCUGCGAGGAUGCACACAUGUUAGAGGAUUAUUUCAAUAACAAGGAAAAGAAUGAGGUAUGGUUGAAGUGCCCUGCUUCACUUACCGUCUGGCCGGAGGUUCGUCCUCACCAUCAAGCUCUACGAAGGCAUCGCUUGCCUGGCCCAAGCUGCCCGACGAGAGCAUUUUCCCUUUCUUGGAAGGUUUCCCCUCUUGACCUCCAGAAGCAGCCCUCUUCUUGCCAUGAAGUGCUCCCUCCACACCUUUGCCCCUGGGCAAAAGGGUUUCGGUUUCCCCGAACAUAGAGCUUAAAUCGCCCUAGGAUGGGCAUCACCUCUGGGCUCCCUGCUCUCGCCCCCUCUGCAGACACCAGGUACGGUGUCGGAGUCAACAUCCGCGUUAGUAGGGCGGACGCAGGGUCUUCGGGAAGGGGCGCCGGACACCAGAUUAACACCGCUUUCUUUAUCCAGUCCUGUAUAAGGAUGAGUUGCUCAGUGUCUUGUCAAGAGAUGCUUGGAUGAAAGGUGUACGACGAUUGAAUACUUACCGGAGUGUCCGGAUGAUUGCAGUCGAGGCCGACGUCUUCGGUGGUGUCCGGCCAUUGCUCUCGCUCCCCGAAAUAUAACUUCCACAUUCCUUCGUGCAUAGUGCCGAAGAAGUGCUGAAGAGUCCACCGCCCUUCUGGAUUAAACUCCCACAUACGGAGAGGCCGCCGCUGACACGGCAGGAUCCGGCGGACCAGCAUUACUUGAACGACGUUCACAAGUCGGAUGCGGCCUUGCAGAGUCUGCACCUUAUUAACGGAUCCCCAGUCCGAUCCCUUGUUGAUCCAUGAAACAAGCUGAGUUGGAGGGAUGGGUCGGAACGCAGGCGUAGCCACCCACUUGGAGCCCCGCGGCUCAUUGACAUAAAACCACCCCUGCUGCCAUAAUUCAGAAGACUUGGCGAAGGAUCCUUCAAACCAAACCGCGCUGGCGAGCUUGCUUAUUACAACGCUGCCACACUCCGCAUGCUCCUCCAUCACCCGCGGUCUCACAUCGAAAGUCUUGAGCCACAAACCAAAGUGUGGAGGAGUCCGGAGGAAGGCCUCACAUGUGACGAUGAAUGCCGAGAUGAGAGGAAAAGAGUGCGGGGCCAUAUCGUGAAAAUCUAGCCCAUGGUAGAACAUGAGCCCCCGGACGAAGGGGUUAAGUGCGAACCCUAACCCAUGGAGGAGGUGAGACACAAAUGCUACCCUCUCACCGGACUUGGGGGUGGGAAUAAUCUGCCCCUCAGCGGGAAGCCGAUGAAGGAUUUCUGGGGUCAGGUACCUCGCUACGCGGAGCUUCGCAAUAUCCUCCUCCGUGACGGAAGAGGCCACCCACCGGCCUGAACGGCUGGACCCGGACAUGAUUAGGGCUGGUGGUGGUUGGAACUCGAGGGCUGGAACUCGAGGAGGCUGGGGUUGAGGAAGAAGCAAGCACAGAAGAGAAAGACAAGUCUGGGUUCCUAUAUAAAGGCCCAGAAUAUUGAGCGUCCCCUCCCGGGUCAUGAAACUUACCUAUCCUCAAAGAGUUGUACCCAGGGGACGGUUGGGUUACCCAUACCUACAUUAUUGAAAAUCCCGGGAAUAAGGGGACACGAUCUCUGCUUUGACAAGACGUGCCAAUAAAACCGCUUCCCGAGACAUGGGGUGACGGGCUAGCCAACGGUUGGAAAUAAUAACCGGGCAGGCGUGAUACAAUGUCAUAAACAGUUGUCAGCAGAUGGGACUCGUGUAAAAUAUAUAAAUUCUCUCUGCGGUUCUGCGUGGUGUGUAACAGGUCCGGAUACAAUCAUCGCAUCCGAAGACUAUCUUGGAGUUCGGAAAAGGGGGAACCCGCCUUGCAAUGCCGAAGACAAUCUGCGCGCUGGACUCCUCGUCAUUGAAGCCAGGUUCAGGGGCUACUAAGGGAGUCCUGGACUAAGGGGUCCUCGAGCGUCCGGCCAGUUAUCUGUUGGGCCGGACUGAUGGGCUAUGAAGACAUGAAGGCCGAAGACUAUACCCGUGUCCGGAUUGGACUCUACUUAGGGUGGAAGGCAAGCUAGGCGACCGAUUAUGAAGAUUUCCUCCUAUGUAACCGACUCCAUGUAACCCUAGAUCUCUCCGGUGUCUAUAUAAACCGGAGGGCAUAGUCCGGAUAGGUCAGAUUCAUUACCAUAUACUCAUAGGCUAGACUUCUAGGGUUUAGCCAUUACGAUCUCGUGGUAGAUCAACUCUUGUAACACUCAUAUUCAUCAAGAUCAAUCAAGCAGGAAGUAGGGUAUUACCUCCAUAGAGAGGCCCGAACCUGGGUAAACAUUGUGUCCCCCGUCUCCUGUUACCAUCGAUCCUAGACGCACAGUUCGGGACCCCCUACCCGAGAUCCGCUGGUUUUGACACCGACACCUGUAUUUACAAGAAAGUGAGUGGAAGCACUACAGCCUUUCUGAUAAGUAUAUGCGAAUGACAUAUGGUUGAUCGGAAAUGAUGUAGUAUUUUCUGGAAAGCAUAAAGGAGUGUUUGAAAGGAGUUUUUCAAAGAAAGACCUCGGUGAAGCUGCUUACAUAUUGAGCAUCAAGAUCUAUAGAGAUAGAUCAAGACGCUUGAUAAGAUUUUCAAUGAGUAAAUACCUUGACAAGAUUUUGAAGUAGUUCAAAAUGGAACAGCCAAAGAAGGAGUUCUUGCCUGUAUUGCAAGGUGUAAAGUUGAGUAAGACUCAAAACCCAACCACGACAAAAAUUUAGAAAGAGAAUGAAAAGUCAUUCCGUAUGCCUCAGUAAUAGGUUCUAUAAAGUAUGCUAUGCUGUCUACCAGACCUAUUGUAUACCCUGCCCUGAGUUUGGCAAGCGAGUACAAUUUUUAUCUAAGAGUAGAUCACUAGACAGCGGUCAAAAUUAUCCUUAGAGGACUAAGGAAAUAUUUCUCGGUUAUGGAGGUGAUAAAGAGUUCGUCAUAAAGAGUUACAUCGAUGCAAUCUUUGACACCGAUCUGGAUGACUCUAAGUCACAAUCCGGAUACAUAUUGAAAGUGGGAGCAAUUAGCUAGAGUAGCUCCGUGCAGAGCAUUGUAGACAUAGAAAUUUGCAAAAUACAUACGGGUAUGUAUGUGACAGACCUGUAGACUAAAACUUCUCUCACAAACAAAACAUGAUCACACCAUAGUACUCUUUGGGUGUUAAUCCCAUGGCGAUGUGAACUAGAUUACUGACUCUAGUAAACCCUUUGGGUGUUGGUCACAUAGCGAUGUGAACUAUGGGUGUUAAUCACAUGGUGAUGUGAAUUAUUGGUGUUAAAUCACAUGGCGAUGUGAACUAAAUUAUUGACUCUUGUGCAAGCGGGAGACUGAAGGAAAUAUGCCCUAGAGGCAAUAAUAAAGUUAUUAUUUUAUUUCCUUAUAUCAUGAUAACUGUUUAUUAUUCAUGCUAGAAUUGUAUUAACCGGAAACUUGAUACAUGUGUGAAUACAUAGACAAAACAAAGUGUCCCUAGUAUGCCUUUACUUGACUAGCUCGUUAAUCAAAGAUGGUUAAGUUUCCUGACCAUAGACAUGUGUUGUCAUUUGAUGAACGAGAUCACAUCAUUAGGAGAAUGAUGUGAUGGACAAGACCCAUCCGUUAGCUUAGCAUGUUGAUCAUUCAGUUUUAUUGCUAUUGCUUUCUUCAUGACUUAUACAUGUUCCUCUAACUAUGAGAUUAUGCGACUCCCGAAUACUGGAGGAACACCUUGUGUGCUAUAAAACGUCACAACGUAACUGGGUGAUUAUAAAGAUGCUCUACAGGUGUCUCCGAAGGUGUUUGUUGGGUUGCCAUAGAUCAAAUUUAGGAUUUUUCACUUCGUGUAUCGGAGAGGUAUCUCUGGGCCCUCUCGGUAAUGCACAUCACUAUAAGCCUUGCAAGCAAUGUGACUAAUGAGUUAGUUAUGGGAUGAUGCAUUAUGGAACGAGUAAAGAGACUUGCCGGUAACGAGAUUGAACUAGGUAUGAGGAUACCGACGAUCGAAUCUCGGGCAAGUAACAUACCGAUGACAAAGAAACAACGUAUGUUGUUAUGCGGUUUGACCGAUAAAGAUCUUCAUAGAAUAUGUAGGAGCCAAUAUGAGCAUCCAGGUUCCGCUAUUGGUUAUUGACCAGAGAUGUGUCUCGGUCAUGUCUACAUAGUUCUCGAACCCGUAGGGUCCGCACGCUUAACGUUCGAUGACGAUUUGUAUUAUGAGUUAUGUGAUUUGAUGACCGAAGUUUGUUCGGAGUCCCGGAUGAGAUCACGGACAUGACGAGGGGUCUCGAAAUGGUCGAGACGUAAAGAUCGAUAUGUUGGAAGGCUAUAUUCGGACAUCGGAAAGGUUCUGAGUGGUUCAGGUAUUUUUCGGAGUACCGGAGAGUUACGGGAAUUCGUCGGGGGAAGUAUUGGGCUUUAAUGGGCCAUACGGGAAAGGAGAGAAGGGCCUCAAGGGGUGGCCGUGCACCCCCCAUGGGCUGGUCUGAAUUGGACUAGGAGGGGGUGGCGCCCCCCUCCUUCCUUCUCCCCUCUUCCUCCUUCCCUUCCUUCUCCUAGUUGGAAUAGGAAAGGGGGGGGGGGCGAAUCCUACUUAGACCGAGAUUCCAAGUAGGACUCCCCCCCUUGGCGCGCACCCUCUAGGGCUGGCCUCUCCUUCCUCCCUCCUUUAUAUACAUGGGCAGGGGGCACCCCAAAGGCACUCCAAGAUUUGUCUUAGCCGUGUGCGGUGCCCCCUCCACAGUUACACACCUCGGUCAUAUCGUCGUAGUGCUUAGGCGAAGCCCUGCGCCGAUAACUUCAUCAUCACCGUCACCACGCUGUCGUGCUGACGGAACUCUCCCUCGGCCUCAACUGGAUCAAGAGCUCGAGGGAUGUCAUCGAGCUGAACGUGUGCAGACGCGGAGGUGCCGUGCGUUCGGUACUUGGAUUGGUUGGAUCGUGAAGACGUUCGACUACAUCAACCGCGUUACUAAACGCUUCCGCUUUUGGUCUACGAGGGUACGUGGACACACUCUCCCCGCUCAUUGCUAUGCUUCUCCUAGAUAGAUCUUGCGUGAUCGUAGGAAUUUUUUUUAAAUACUACGUUCCACAACAUUGCCAAGAAACCCAAGUUGUCGUUUCUUAAAGUUUGGGGCUGCGAUGCUUAUGUGAAAAAGAUUCAACCUGAUAAGCUCGAACCCAAAUUGGAGAAAUGUGUCUUCAUAGGAUACCCAAAGGAAACUGUUGGGUACACCUUCUAACACAGAUCUGAAGGCAAAAUAUUCGUUGCUAAGAAUGGAUCCUUUCUAGAGAAGGAGUUUAUCUCGAAAGAAGUGAGUGGGAGGAAAGUAGAACUUGAUGAGGUAACUGUACCUGCUCCCUUAUUGGAAAGUAGUUCAUCACAGAAAUCAGUUCCAGUGAUUCCUACACCAAUUAGUGAGGAAGCUAAUGAUAAUGAUCAUGAAACUUCUGAUCAAGUUACUACCGAACCUCGUAGGUCAACCAGAGUAAGAUCCGCACCAGAAUGGUACGGUAAUCCUAUUCUGGAGGUCAUGUUGCUUGACCAUGACGAACCUACGAACUAUGAGGAAGCGAUGAUGAGCCCAGAUUCCACAAAAUGGCUUGAAGCCAUGAAAUCUGAGAUGGGAUCCAUUUAUGGGAACAAAGUGUGGACUUUGGUUGACUUGUCCGAUGGUCGGCAGGCCAUAGAGAAUAAAUGGAUCUUCAAUAAGAAGACUGACGCUAACGGUAAUUUUACUGUUUACAAAGCUCGACUUGUUGCGAAUGGUUUUUGACAAGUUCAAGGAGUUGACUAUGACGAGACCUUCUCACCCGUAGCAAUGCUUAAGUCCAUCCGAAUCAUGUUAGCAAUUGCCGCAUUUUAUGAUUAUGAAAUUUGGCAAAUGGAUGUCAAAACUGCAUUCCUAAAUGGAUUUCUGGAAGAAGAGUUGUAUAUGAUGCAACCAGAAGGUUUUGUCGAUCCAAAGGAUGCUAACAAAGUGUGCAAGCUCCAGCGAUCCAUUUAUGGACUGGUGCAAGCAUCUCGGAGUUGGAAUAAACGUUUUGAUAGUGUGAUCAAAGCAUAUGGUUUUAUACAGACUAUUGGAGAAGCCCGUAUUUACAAGAAAGUGAGUGGGAUCUCUGUAGCAUUUCUAAUAUUAUAUGUGGAUGACAUAUUGUUGAUUGGAAAUGAUAUAGAAUUUCUGGAUAGCAUAAAAGGAUACUUGAAUAAGAGUUUUUCAUUGAAAGACCUCGGUGAAGCUGCUUAUAUAUUGGGCAUCAAAAUCUAUAGAGAUAGAUCAAGACGCUUAAUUGGACUUUCACAAAGCACAUACCUUGAUAAAGUUUUGAAGAAGUUCAAAAUGGAUCAAGCAAAGAAAGGAUUCUUGCCUGUAUUACAAGGUGUGAAGUUGAGUCAGACUCAAUGCCCGACCACUUCAGAAGAUAGAGAGAAAUUGAAAGUCAUUCCCUAUGCUUCAGCCAUAGGUUCUAUCAUGUAUGCAAUGCUUUGUACCAGACCUGAUGUGUGCCUUGCUAUUAGUUUAGCAGGGAGGUACCAAAGUAAUCCAGGAGUGGAUCACUGGAGCGGUCAAGAACAUCCUGAAAUACCUGAAAAGGACUAAGGAUAUGUUUCUCGUUUAUGGAGGUGAUAAAGAGCUCGUCGUAAAUGGUUACGUCGAUGCAAGCUUUGACACUGAUCCGGAUGACUCUAAGUCACAAACCGGAUACAUAUUUAUAUUAAAUGGAGGAGCUGUAAGUUGGUGCAGUUCCAAACAGAGCGCCGUGGCGGGAUCUACGUGUGAAGCGGAGUACAUAGCUGCUUCGGAAGCAACAAAUGAAGGAGUCUGGAUGAAGGAGUUCAUAUCUGAUCUAGGUGCCAUACCUAGUGCAUCGGGUCCAAUGAAAAUCUUUUGUGACAAUACUGGUGCAAUUGCCUUGGCAAAGGAAUCCAGAUUUCAAAAGAGAACCAAGCACAUCAAGAGAUGCUUCAAUUCCAUCCGCGAUCAAGUCAAGGAGGGAGACAUAGAGAUUUGCAAGAUACAUACGGAUCUGAAUGUUGCAUACCCGUUGACUAAGCCUCUCUCACGAGCAAAACAUGAUCAGCACCAAGACUCCAUGGGUGUUAGAAUCAUUACAAUGUAAUCUAGAUUAUUGACUCUAGUGCAAGUGGGAGACUGAAGGAAAUAUGCCCUAGAGGCAAUAAUAAAGUUGUUAUUUAUAUUUCCUUAUAUCAUGAUAAAUAUUUAUUAUUCAUGCUAGAAUUGUAUUAACCGGAAACUUAGUACAUGUGUGAAUACAUAGACAAACAGACUGUCCCUAGUACGCCUCUACUAGACUAGCUCGUUGAUCAAAGAUGGUUAAUUUUCCUAGCCAUAGACAUGUGUUGUCAUUUGAUGAACGGGAUCACAUCAUUAGAGAAUGAUGUGAUGGACAAGACCCAUCCGUUAGCUUAGCACUUUGAUCGUUUAGUUUAUUGCUAUUGCUUUCUUCAUGACUUAUACAUGUUCCUAGGACUAUGAGAUUAUGCAACUCCCGAAUACCGGAGGAACACUUAGUGUGCUAUCAAACGUCACAACGUAACUGGGUGAUUAUAAAGAUGCUCUACAGGUGUCUCCGAUGGUGUUUGUUGAGUUGGCAUAGAUCAAGAUUACGAUUUGUCACUCUGAUUGUCAGAGAGGUAUCACUAGGCCCUCUCGGUAAUGCAAAUCACUCUAAGCCUUGCAAGCAAAGUGACUAAUGAGUUAGUUGAGGGAUGAUGCAUUACAGACCGAGUAAAGAGACUUGCCGGUAACGAUAUAGAACUAGGUAUGGUGAUACCGAUGAUCGAAUCUCGGGCAAGUAACAUACCAAUGACAAAGGGAAGAACGUAUGUUGUUAUGCGGUUUGACCGAUAAAGAUCUUCGUAGAAUAUGUAGGAGCCAAUAUGAGCAUCCAGGUUCCGCUAUUGGUUAUUGACCGGAGAGGUGUCUCGGUAAUGUCUACAUAGUUCUUGAACCCGUAGGGUCCGCACGCUUAAUGUUCGAUGACGAUUCAUAUUAUGAGUUUAUGUGUUUUGAUGUACCGAAGGUUGUUCGGAGUCCAGGAUGAGAUCACGGACAUGACGAGGAGUCUCGAAAUGGUCGAGACAUAAAGAUUGAUAUAUUGGAAGUUUAUAUUCGGACAACGGAAUGGUUUUGAAGUGUAUCGGGUAUUUUCCGGAGUACCGGGAGGUUACCGGAAACCCCCGGGGGAUUAAUGGGCCACAAUGGGCCUUGGUGGAGAAGAGAGAGGGCCGGCCAGAGGUGGCGCCCCCCCUUGCCCAGUCCGAAUUGGACACGGGGAAGGCCCCCCCUCUUCCUUCUCUUCUCUCCUCUUUCCCUUCUUCUCCUUCUUGGACUAGGAAAGGGGGAAACCUACUCCUCCUAGGAGUAGGAUUCCUCCCCCCUUGGCGCGCACCUUGUGGCCGGCCGUCCUCCUCCUCCUCUCCUUUAUAUACGGGGGAGGGGGCACCCCAUAGACACACAAGUUGAUCUUUAGCCAUGUGCGGUGCCCCCUCCACAGUUUCCACCUCGGUCAUAUUCUCGUAGUGCUUACGCGAAGCCCUGCGUCGGUAACUUCAUCAUCACUGUCACCACGCCAUCGUGCUGACGAAACUCUCCCUCGACCUCAGCUGGAUCUAGAGUUCGAGGGACAUCACUGAGCUGAACGUGUGCAGAUCGCGGAGGUGUCAUGCGUUCGGUACUUGAUCGGUUGGAUCGCGAAGACGUUCGACUACAUCAACCGUGUUACUAAACGCUUCCGCUUUCGGUCUAGGAGAGUACGUGGACACACUCUCCCCGCUCGUUGCUAUGCUUCUCCUAGAUAGAUCUUGCGUGAUCGUAGGAUUUUUUUUUGAAAUACUACGUUCCCCAACAUCUCUGUCCUCUCUCCUUCUCUCCUCCCUCCCCCAUCCCGGCCUCCUCCCUCCCUCUCUCCUCCCUCCCUCUCUCCUCCCUCCCUCCCUCCCUUCCUCCCUCCUAAAUCUAUGUUUUUUGAAUAAAAUAGAACAUAUAGGUUAUAUGAACAGAAUGUAGGUAUUUUGACUAGAAUAAAAUAUAAAAUAUAGCUAGAAUGGAGGUUUUACGAAUAGAAAAGAAAACUAGCAAAUAUGUUUUUUGAAUAUAAAAAGUUUUAGUAAUACAAAAUUAGUAAAAGAAAAUUUUAGUAAUACAAAAUUUUAGUAAUAGAGAUUUUUAGGUAUAGAAAAUUUUCAAUUAUAGAAAUGUAUUGGAAUGCUAUAUGAGAAAUUUUUAGGUAUUGAAUUUAGUAAUAAUUUUUUUAGGUAUCUAAUUUUUUUCACUCGGUGGAAUAUGCAUGCUUUGUAGAGUCGCGUCUUGAUGUCUACUACGCAACUUUAUUCUUGUAGACACGUGUUGGGCCUCCAAGCGUAGAGUUUUGUAGGACAGUAGCAAUUUCCCCUCAAGUGGAUGACCUAAGGUUUAUCAAUCCGUGGGAGGCGUAGGAUGAAGAUAGUCUCUCUUGAACAACCCUGCAACCAAAUAACAAAGAGUCUCUUUUGUCCCCAACACACCGAAUACAAUGGUAAUUUGUAUAGGUGCACUAGUUCGGCGAAGAGAUGGUGAUACAAGUGUAAUAUGGAUAGUAGAUAUUGUUUAUUAAUAAGAACAAUAAAAAACAGCAAGGUAGCAAUUGAUAAAACGGAGCAUAAACGAUAUUGCAAUGCUUGAAAAUGAGGCCUAGGGUCCGUAUUUUCGCUAGUGCAGUCUCCCAACAAUGCUAAUAUAAUUGGAUCAUAUAACCAUCCCUCAAAGUGUGAUGAAGAAUCACUCCAAAGUUCCUAUCUAGAAGAGAACAUCAGAAGAAAUUGUUUCUAGGGUACGAAACCACCUCGAAGCUGUUCUUUCCGAUCGAUCUAUCCAAGAGUUCAUACUAAAUAACACCAAACAAUUUCAGAUUCAUAAUACUCAAUCCAACACAAAGAACCUCAAAGAGUGCCCCAAGAUUUCUACCGGAGAAACAAAGACGAGAACGUGCAUCAACCCCUAUGCAUAGAUUACCCCAAUGUCACCUCGGGAAUCCGCGAGUUGAGUGCCAAAACAUAUAUCAAGUGAAUCAAUAGGAUACCCCAUUGUCACCACGAGUAUUCAUAUGCAAGACAUAUAUCAAGUGCUAUCAAAUCCGUAAAAGUAUUCAAUCUGAUAAAAUGAAAUCUCAAAGGGGAAGCUCAAUUCAUCACAACAAGAUAGAGAGGGGAAAACACCAUAUGAUCCGACUAUAUUAACAAAGCCCGCGAUACAUCAAGAUCAUCAUAUCUCAAGAACACGAGAGAGAGAGAGAUUAAACACAUAGCUACUGGUAGAAACCCUCAGCCCCGAGGGUGGACUACUCCCUCCUCAUCGUGGUGGCCGCCGGGAUGAUGAAGAUGGCCACCGGUGAUGAUCUCCCCCUCCGGCAGGGUGCCGAAAUGGGGUCUAGAUUGAUUUCUCAUGGCUACAGAGCCUUGUGGCGGCGGAACUUCUGAUCUAGGGUAACCCCGAGGGUUUUUGGAAUAUUUGGUGAAUUAUAGGGCAAAGAGGGGGCGCGGGAGACCACCGAGGUGGGCACAACCCACCUGGGCGCGCCUGGGCCCCCAGGCGCGCCCUGGUGGGUUGUGCCCCCCUCAGGGCACCCCCCAGGUGCUUCUCUGGCCCACUGGAUGUCUUCUGGUCUAUAAAAACUCCAUAAAAAGUUUCACGGUGUUUGGACUCUGUUUGAUAUUAAUUUCCUGCGAUGUAAAAAACAAGCAAAAAACAGCAACUGGCACUGGGCACUGGGUCAAUAGGUUAGUCCCAAAAAAUGAUAUAAAGUUGCUAUAAAAUGAUUGUAAAACAUCCAAGAAUGGUAAUAUAACAACAUGAAUACUUCAUAAAUUAUAGAUACGUUGGAGACGUAUCAGCAUCCCCAAGCUUAAUUCCUACUCGUCCUCGAGUAGGUAAAUGAUAAAAGAAAUAAUUUAUGAAGUGUGAAUGCUAGCAAAGUGCAUAUUUUUUAUCAAUGAUAAUUUCAAUCACUUUUCCUAGCAUCAUAACAACAAUUCUUUCUUAUAAAACUUCUCAUGAUAAAGUAGCAACCAAUUCACAUGUUAAGUUUCAAACAAUGAAUUCUCUUGAAACUCAACAACCUAUGUUCUCAGUCACCAAGCAAUUGCAAUUUCAACUUAUUCAACAGUGUCUAAGUAAGAGCUCCACAUACUCAACCAUCAUAUAGUCUUCUAUGAUUGCUAACACUCACCGCAUACACAUGAGCAAAACAUUUCAACCGGACACAUAGGAAGAUAGAGGCUCAUAAUUUCACCUCCCAACGUAUUCACCUCAAGGGUGAUGUCAACAAUAACAACUCAUGCUACCCAUAUCCGACUGGAUAUAUGUGCCUAGAUCUUUCCUCACCACAUGAUGCUUGCCAAAAGAGAAAAAUAAAAAGGAAUAGAGGGAAAAACUUUGACUCUUGCAUGAAAGUAAAUACAUAAAAGUAAAAUGUAGGCCCUUCAUAGAGGGAAGCAGAGGUUGCCAUGCGCUUUUUGUUUGUAUGCUCAACCCCUUAGUGCAAAAGACGUCACGUUAUAUUGCCCCUUAUGAUAGCAACCUUUAUUAUGCAGUCUGUCGCUUUUAUUCUUUGCCAUCACAAGUUUGUACAAUGCUCAAUUUUCUCUUACACUAAAUGAUCUAAUACUUUUAGAAGCAAGUUUUAUUACCUUAUUGCACCGAUGACAACUUACUUGAAGGAUAUUACUCAAUCCUUAGGUAGGUAUGGUGGACUCUUGAAAAUAAGAUUUGGGUUUAAGGGGUUUUGGAUGCACAAGUUGAAGGAAAUAUGCUCUAGAGGCAAUAAUAAAGUUAUUAUUUAUUUCCUUAUAUCAUGAUAAAUGUUUAUUAUUCAUGCUAUAAUUGUAUUAACCGGAAACAUAAUACAUGUGUGAAUACAUAGACAAACAGAGUGUCACUAGUAUGCCUCUACUUGACUAGCUCGUUGAUCAAAGAUGGUUAUGUUUCCUAGCCAUAGACAUGAGUUGUCAUUUGAUUAACGGGAUCACAUCAUUAGGAGAUUGAUGUGAUUGACUUGACCCAUUCCGUCAGCUUAGCACUCGAUCGUUUAGUAUGUUGCUAUUGCUUUCUUCAUGACUUAUACAUGUUCCUAUGACUAUGAGAUUAUGCAACUCCCGUUUACCGGAGGAACACUUUGUGUGCUACCAAACGUCACAACGUAACUGGGUGAUUAUAAAGGUGCUCUACAGGUGUCUCCGAAGGUACUUGUUGGGUUGGCGUAUUUCGAGAUUAGGAUUUGUCACUCCGAUUGUCGGAGAGGUAUCUCUGGGCCCUCUCGGUAAUGCACAUCACUUAAGCCUUGCAAGCAUUGCAACUAAUGAGUUUGUUGCGGGAUGAUGUAUUACGGAAUGAGUAAAGAGACUUGCGGGUAACGAGAUUGAACUAGGUAUUGAGAUACCGACGAUCGAAUCUCGGGCAAGUAACAUACCGAUGACAAAGGGAACAACGUAUGUUGUUAUGCGGUCGGACCGAUAAAGAUCUUCGUAGAAUAUGUCAGAGCCAAUAUGAGCAUCCAGGUUGCGCUAUUGGUUAUUGACCGGAGACGUGUCUCGUUCAUGUCUACAUAGUUCUCGAACCCGUAGGAUCCGCACGCUUAAAGUUUCGAUGACAGUUAUAUUAUGAGUUUAUAUGUUUUGAUAUACCGAACGGAGUCCCGGAUGUGAUCACGGACAUGACGAGGAAUCUCGAAAUGGUCGAGACAUGAAGAUUGAUAUAUUGGAAGCCUAUGUUUGGAUAUCAAAAAUGUUCCGGGUGAAAUCGGAAUUUUACCAGAGUACCGGGAGGUUACCGGAACCCCUCGGGGGCUUAAUGGGCCAUAGUGGGCCUUAGUGAAAGAGAGGAGAGGCGGCCAGGGCAGGGCCGCGUGCCCCCCCCUAGUCCGAAUAGGACAAGGAGAGGGGGGGCGCCCCCCUUUCCUUCCUCUCUCCCUCCUCUUUCCCCCUCCACUCCUAGUCCAACAAGGAAAAGGGAGGGAGUCCUACUCCCGGUGGGAGUAGGACUCCUCCUGGCGCGCCCCUCCUGGCCGGCCGCACCUCUCCCCCUUGCUCCUUUAUAUACAGGGCAGGGGGGCACCCUAGAGACACAACAAUUGAUCGUCUGAUCUUUUAGCCGUGUGCGGUGCCCCCCUCCACCAUAGUCCACCUCGAUAAUACUGUAGCAGUGCUUAGGCAAAGCCCUGCGUCGGUAGAACAUCAUCAUCAUCACCACGCCGUCGUGCUGACAAAACUCUCCCUCAACACUCGGCUGGAUCGGAGUUCGAGGGACGUCAUCGGGCUGAACGUGUGCUGAACUCGGAGGUGCCGUACGUUCGGUACUUGAUCGGUCGGAUCGUGAAGACGUACGACUACAUCAACCGCGUUGUGCUAACGCUUCCGCUUUCGGUCUACGAGGGUACGUAGACAACACUCUCCCCUCUCGUUGCUAUGCAUCACCAUGAUCUUGCGUGUGCGUAGGAAAUUUUUUGAAAUUACUAUGUUCCCCAACAGUGGUAUCAGAGCCAGGUUUUAUGCGUUGAUGUUAUAUGCACAAGUAGAACACAAGUGAGUUGUGGGCGAUAUAAGUCAUACUGCUUACCAGCAUGUCAUACUUUGGUUCGGUGGUAUUGUUGGAUGAAGCGGCCCGGACCGACAUUACGCGUACGCUUACGCGAGACUGGUUCUUCCGACGUGCUUUGCACAGAGGUGGCUGGCGGGUGUCAGUUUCUCCAACUUUAGUUGAACCGAGUGUGGCUACGCCCGGUCCUUGCGAAGGUUAAAACAACACCAACUUGACAAACUAUCGUUGUGGUUUUGAUGCGUAGGUAAGAACGGUUCUUGCUAAGCCCAGUAGCAGCCACGUAAAACUUGCAACAACAAAGUAGAGGACGUCUAACUUGUUUUUGCAGGGCAUGUUGUGAUGUGAUAUGGUCAAGACAUGAUGCUAAAUUUUAUUGUAUGAGAUGAUCAUGUUUUGUAACCGAGUUAUCGGCAACUGGCAGGAGCCAUAUGGUUGUCGCUUUAUUGUAUGCAAUGCAAUUGCCCUGUAAUGCUUUACUUUACCACUAAGUGGUAGCGAUAGUCGUAGAAGCAUAAGAUUGGCGAGACGACAACGAUGCUAUGAUGGAGAUCAAGGUGUCACGCCGGUGACGAUGGUGAUCAUGACGGUGCAUCGAAGAUGGAGAUCACAAGCACAAGAUGAUGAUGGCCAUAUCAUAUCACUUAUAUUGAUUGCAUGUGAUGUUUAUCUUUUAUGCAUCUUAUCUUGCUUUGAUUGACGGUAGCAUUAUAAGAUGAUCCCUCACUAAAUUAUCAAAGUAUAAGUGUUCUCCCUGAGUAUGCACCGUUGCGAAAGUUCUUCAUGCUGAGACACCACGUGAUGCUCGGGUGUGAUAGGCUCUACAUUCAAAUACAACGGGUGCAAAACAGUUGCACACGCGGAAUACUCAGGUUAAGCUUGACGAGCCUAGCAUAUAACAGAUAUGGCCUCGGAACACGGAGACCGAAAGGUCGAGCGUUAAUCAUAUAGUGGAUAUGAUCAACAUAGUGAUGUUCACCGUUGAAACUACUCCAUCUCACGUGAUGAUCGGACAUGGUUUAGUUGAUAUGGAUCACGUGAUCACUUAGAGGAUUAGAGGGAUGUCUAUCUAAGUGGGAGUUCUUAAGUAAUAUGAUUAAUUGAACUUAAAUUUAUCAUGAACUUAGUACCUGAUAGUAUCUUGCUUGUCUAUGUUGAUUGUAGAUAGAUGGCCCGUGCUGUUGUUCCGUUGAAUUUUAAUGCGUUCCUUGAGAAAGCAAAGUUGAAAGAUAAUGGUAGCAAUUACACGGACUGGGUCCGUAACUUGAGGAUUAUCCUCAUUGCUGCACAUAAGAAUUACGUCCUGGGAGCACCGCUGGGUGCCAGACCUGCUGCAAGAGAAACACCAGAUGUUAUGAACGUCUGGCAGAGCAAAGCUGAUGACUACUCGAUAGUUCAGUGUGCCAUGCUUUACGGCUUAGAACCGGGUCUUCAACGACGUUUUGAACAUCAUGGAGCAUAUGAGAUGUUCCAGGAGUUGAAGUUAAUAUUUCAAGCAAAUGCCCGGAUUGAGAGAUAUGAAGUCUCCAAUAAGUUCUACAGCUGCAAGAUGGAAGAGAAUAGUUCUGUCAGUGAGCAUAUACUCGAAAUGUCGGGGUAUAACAAUCACUUGAUUCAACUGGGAGUUAAUCUUCUGGAUGAUAGCGUCAUUGACAGAAUUCUUCAAUCACUGCCACCAAGCUACAAGAGCUUCGUGAUGAACUAUAACAUGCAAGGGAUGGAUAAGACGAUUCCCGAGCUCUUCGCAAUGCUAAAGGCUGCGGAGGUAGAAAUCAAAAAGGAGCAUCAAGUGUUGAUGGUCAAUAAGACCACCAGUUUCAAGAAAAAGGGCAAAGGGAAGAAGAAGGGGAACUUCAAGAAGAACAACAAGCAAGUUGCUAUUCAGGAGAAGAAACCCAAGUCUGGACCUAAGCCUGAGACUGAGUGCUUCUACUGCAAGCAGACUGGUCACUGGAAGCGGAACUGCCCCAAGUAUUUGGCGGAUAAGAAGGAUGGCAAGGUGAACAAAGGUAUAUGUGAUAUACAUAUUAUUGAUGUGUACCUUACUAAUGCUCGCAGUAGCAGCUGGGUAUUUGAUACUGGUUCUGUUGCUAAUAUUUGCAACUCGAAGCAGGGGCUACGGAUUAAGCGAAGAUUGGCUAAGGACGAGGUGACGAUGCGCGUGGGAAAUGGUUCCAAAGUCGAUGUGAUCGCGGUCGGCACGCUACCUCUACAUCUACCUUCGGGAUUAGUUUUAGACCUGAAUAAUUGUUAUUUGGUCCCAGCGUUGAGCAUGAACAUUAUAUCUGGAUCUUGUUUGAUGCGAGACAGUUAUUCAUUUAAAUCAGAGAAUAAUGGUUGUUCUAUUUAUAUGAGUAAUAUCUUUUAUGGUCAUGCACCCUUGAAGAGUGGUCUAUUUUUGUUGAAUCUCGAUAGUGGAGAUACACAUAUUCAUAGUAUUGAAGCCAAAAGAUGCAGAGUUGAUAAUGAUAGUGCAACUUAUUUGUGGCACUGCCGUUUAGGUCAUAUCGGUGUAAAGCGCAUGAAGAAACUCCAUACUAACGGACUUUUGGAUCCACAUGAUUAUGAAUCACUUGGUACUUCCGAACCGUGCCUCAUGGGCAAGAUGACUAAAACGCCGUUCUCCAGAACUAUGGAGAGAGCAACAGAUUUGUUGGAAAUCAUACAUACAGAUGUAUGUGGUCCGAUGAAUGUUGAGGCUCGUGGCGGAUAUCGUUAUUUUCUCACCUUCACAGAUGAUUUAAGCAUAUAUGGGUAUAUCUACUUAAUGAAACAUAAGUCUGAAACAUUUGAAAAUUUCAAAGAAUUUCAGAGUGAAGUUGAAAAUCAUCGUAACAAGAAAAUAAAGUUUCUACGAUCUGAUCGUGGAGGAGAAUAUUUGAGUUAUGAGUUUGGUCUUCAUUUGAAACAAUGCGGAAUAGUUUCGCAACUCACGCCACCCGAAACACCACAGCGUAAUGGUGUGUCCGAACGUCGUAAUCGUACUUUACUAGAUAUGGUGCGAUCUAUGAUGUCUCUUACUGAUUUACCGCUAUCAUUUUGAGGUUAUGCUUUAGAGACGGCCGCAUUCACGUUAAAUAGGGCACCAUCAAAAUCCGUUGAGACGACGCCUUAUGAACUGUGGUUUGGCAAGAAACCAAAGUUGUCGUUUCUUAAAGUUUGGGGCUGCGAUGCUUAUGUGAAAAAUCUUCAACCUGAUAAGCUCGAACCCAAAUCGGAGAAAUGUGUCUUCAUAGGAUACCCAAAGGAGACUGUUGGGUACACCUUCUAUCACAGAUUCGAAGGCAAGACUUUUGUUGCAAAAUUCGGAAUCUUUCUGGAGAAGGAGUUUCUCUCGAAAGAAGUGAGUGGGAGGAAAGUGGAACUUGAUGAGGUAACUGUACCUGCUCCCUUAUUGGAAAGUAGUUCAUCGCAGAAACCAGUUUCCGCGACGCUUAUACCAAUUAGUGAGGAAGUUAAUGAUGAUGAUCAUGGAACUUCAGAUCAAGUUAUUACUGAACCUCGUAGGUCAACCAGAGUAAGAUCCGCACCAGAGUGGUAUGGUAAUCCUGUUCUGGAGGUUAUGUUACUAGACCAUGACGAACCUACGAACUAUGAAGAAGCGAUGGUGAGCCCAGAUUCUGCAAAAUGGCUUGAAGCCAUGAAAUCUGAGAUGGGAUCCAUGUAUGAGAACAAAGUGUGGACUUUGGUUGACUUGCCCGAUGAUCGGCAAGCAAUUGAGAAUAAAUGGAUCUUCAAGAAGAAGACUGACGCUGACGGUAAUGUUACUAUCUAUAAAGCUCGACUUGUUGCAAAAGGUUUUCGACAAGUUCAAGGGAUUGACUACGAUGAGACCUUCUCAUCCGUAGCGAUGCUUAAGUCUGUCCGAAUCAUGUUAGCAAUUGCCGCAUUUUAUGAUUAUGAAAUUUGGCAAAUGGAUGUCAAAACUGCAUUCCUGAAUGGAUUUCUGGAAGAAGAGUUGUAUAUGAUGCAACCGGAAGGUUUUGUCGAUCCAAAGGGAGCUAACAAAGUGUGCAAGCUCCAGCGAUCCAUUUAUGGACUGGUGCAAGCCUCUCGGAGUUGGAAUAAACGCUUUGAUAGUGUGAUCAAAGCAUUUGGUUUUGUACAGACUUUUGGAGAAGCCUGUAUUUACAAGAAAGUGAGUGGGAGCUCUGUAGCAUUUCUGAUAUUAUAUGUGGAUGACAUAUUGCUGAUUGGAAAUGAUAUAGAAUUUCUGGAUAGCAUAAAGGGAUACUUGAAUAAGAGUUUUUCAAUGAAAGACCUCGGUGAAGCUGCAUAUAUAUUAGGCAUCAAGAUCUAUAGAGAUAGAUCAAGAUGCUUAAUUGGACUUUCACAAAGCACAUACCUUGACAAAGUUUUGAAGAAGUCCAAAAUGGAUCAAGCAAAGAAAGGGUUCUUGCCUGUAUUACAAGGUGUGAAGUUGAGUAAGACUCAAUGCCCGACCACUGCAGAAGAUAGAGAGAAGAUGAAGGAUUUUCCCUAUGCUUCAGCCAUAGGCUCUAUCAUGUAUGCAAUGCUGUGUACCAGACCUGAUGUGUGCCUUGCUAUAAGUCUAGCAGGGAAGUACCAAAGUAAUCCAGGAGUGGAUCACUGGACAGCGGUCAAGAACAUCCUGAAAUACCUGAAAAGGACUAAGGAUAUGUUUCUCGUUUAUGGAGGUGACAAAGAGCUCAUCGUAAAUGGUUACGUUGAUGCAAGCUUUGACACUGAUCCGGACGAUUCUAAAUCGCAAACUGGAUACCUGUUUACAUUAAAUGGUGGAGCUGUCAGUUGGCUGGAUCUACGUGUGAAGCGGAAUACAUAGCUGCUUCGGAAGCAGCAAAUGAAGGAGUCUGGAUGAAUGAGUUCAUAUCCGAUCUAGGUGUCAUACCUAGUGCAUCGGGUUCAAUGAAAAUCUUUUGUGACAAUACUGGUGCAAUUGCCUUGGCGAAGGAAUCCAGAUUUCACAAGAGAACCAAGCACAUCAAGAGACGCUUCAAUUCCAUCCGGGAUUUAGUCCAGGUGGGAGACAUAGAAAUUUGCAAGAUACAUACGGAUCUGAAUGUUGCAUACCCGUUUACUAAGCCUCUUCCACGAGCAAAACAUGAUCAACACCAAGGCUCCAUGGGUGUUAGAAUCAUUACUGUGUAAUCUAGAUUAUUGACUCUAGUGCAAGUGGGAGACUGAAGGAAAUAUGCCCUAGAGGCAAUAAUAAAGUUAUUAUUUAUUUCCUUAUAUCAUGAUAAAUGUUUAUUAUUCAUGCUAGAAUUGUAUUAACCGGAAACAUAAUACAUGUGUGAAUACAUAGACAAACAGACUGUCACUAGUAUGCCUCUACUUGACUAGCUCGUUGAUCAAAGAUGGUUAUGUUUCCUAGCCAUAGACAUGAGUUGUCAUUUGAUUAACGGGAUCACAUCAUUAGGAGAAUGAUGUGAUUGACUUGACCCAUUCCGUCAGCUUAGCACUCGAUCGUUUAGUAUGUUGCUAUUGCUUUCUUCAUGACUUAUACAUGUUCCUAUGACUAUGAGAUUAUGCAACUCCCGUUUACCGGAGGAACACUUUGUGUGCUACCAAACGUCACAACGUAACUGGGUGAUUAUAAAGGUGCUCUACAGGUGUCUCCGAAGGUACUUGUUGGGUUGGCGUAUUUCGAGAUUAGGAUUUGUCACUCCGAUUGUCGGAGAGGUAUCUCUGGGCCCUCUCGGUAAUGCACAUCACUUAAGCCUUGCAAGCAUUGCAACUAAUGAGUUUGUUGCGGGAUGAUGUAUUACGGAAUGAGUAAAGAGACUUGCGGGUAACGAGAUUGAACUAGGUAUUGAGAUACCGACGAUCGAAUCUCGGGCAAGUAACAUACCGAUGACAAAGGGAACAACGUAUGUUGUUAUGCGGUCUGACCGAUAAAGAUCUUCGUAGAAUAUGUCAGAGCCAAUAUGAGCAUCCAGGUUCCGCUAUUGGUUAUUGACCGGAGACGUGUCUCGGUCAUGUCUACAUAGUUCUCGAACCCGUAGGAUCCGCACGCUUAAAGUUUUGAUGACAGUUAUAUUAUGAGUUUAUAUGUUUUGAUGUACCGAAGAUUGUUCGGAGUCCCGGAUGUGAUCACGGACAUGACGAGGAGUCUCGAAAUGGUCGAGACAUGAAGAUUGAUAUAUUGGAAGCCUAUGUUUGGAUAUCGAAAAUGUUUCGGGUGAAAUCGGAAUUUUACCGGAGUACCGGGAGGUUACCGGAACCCCCCGGGGGCUUAAUGGGCCAUAGUGGGCCUUAGUGGAAGAGAGGAGAGGCAGCCAGGGCAAGGCCGCGCGCCCCUCCCCCCUAGUCUCAAUAGGACAAGGAGAGGGGGGCGGCGCCCCCCUUUCCUUCCUCUCUCCCUCCUCUUUCCCCCUCCACUCCUAGUCCAACAAGGAAAAGGGAGGGAGUCCUACUCCCGGUGGGAGUAGGACUCCUCCUGGCGCACCCCUCCUGGCCGGCCGCACCUCUCCCCCUUGCUCCUUUAUAUACGGGGGCAGGGGGCACCCUAGAGACACAACAAUUGAUCGUCUGAUCUUUUAGCCGUGUGCGGUGCCCCCCUCCACCAUAGUCCACCUCGAUAAUACUGUAGCGGUGCUUAGGCGAAGCCCUGCGUCGGUAGAACAUCAUCAUCGUCACCACGCCGUCAUGCUGACGAAACUCUCCCUCAACACUCGGCUGGAUCGGAGUUCGAGGGACGUCAUCGGGCUGAACGCGUGCUGAACUCGGAGGUGCCGUACGUUCGGUACUUGAUCGGUCGGAUCGUGAAGACGUACGACUACAUCAACCGCGUUGUGCUAACGCUUCCGCUUUCGGUCUACGAGGGUACGUAGACAACACUCUCCCCUCUCGUUGCUAUGCAUCACCAUGAUCUUGCGUGUGCGUAGGAAUUUUUUUAAAAUUACUACGUUCCCCAACACAAGUAGUAUCUCUACUUGGUGUGGAAUUUUUGGCUAGCAAAGAUGGGGGGCAAGCACCACAUGUUGAAGGAUCUAUGCAAUAUAACUUCUAUGUGAAUAUGAACAAACAUAAAUCAUUACGUUGUCUUCCUUGUCCAACGUCAACAAUUUUGGCAUAUAAUAUUUUGAUGGGGGCUCACAAUCACAAAAGAUUUCCAAGAUAGUGUAUUUGCAUGUGAAAGUUCUCUUCCUUCUACUAAUCAUUCAUGAAUUGCUUGUAUGACCAAUAUUGUGAUUGUCAAGCUUCAAAAGAUUUCACUUUCUAAACCCAAUGUGAAGCUACCACUAGGCAUGAUAUAAUUUCAACUUCAUGAUUAUUCAAUUCAUUCAACAAUUUACUCAUAGGAUAUAAGUGAAGCACAAGAGUAAAUGACAAGCUACUCCAGAAAGAUAUAAGUGAAGAUCAAGCGAGUAGUUAAGUAAAUGGGUAGCUAAUUGGGGACUCUCUCUUAUUUAAAACUUUUAGAUCUAAGUAUUUUAUUAAAACAACAAGCAAAAUGAAAAUAAAAUGACAUUUCAAGGAUAGAACAACUCAUGUGAAGAAGCAAAAACUUAGGAUCAACCGAUACUAACCGAUAAUAGUUGAUGAAGAAAGGUGGGAUGCCUACCGGGGCAUCCCCAAGCUUAGAUGCUUGAGACUUCUUGAAAUAUUAUCUUGGUAUGCCUUGGGCAUCCCCAAGCUUGAGCUUUUGUGUCUCCUUAAUUACUUUUAUAUCACGUUUUCCCUAAAUCUUAAAAACUUCAUUCACACAAAACUCAACAAGAACUCGUGAGAUAAGUUAGUAUAAACCAAUGCAAAAACCUUAUCAUUCUCUACUGUAGAAAAUCACUAAAAUUAUUAUUCAACAUUGCAUACUAAAUGCCUCUGCAUAUUUAAUACUUCUAUCCUCAAAUAGAAUCAUUAAACAAGCAAACAUAUGCAAACAAUGCAAACAUAACAUCAAUCUGCCAAAACAGUACAGUCUGUAAAGAAUGCAAGAGUAUCAAUACUUCUUUAACUCCAAAAAUUAUGAAAAUUUACCACACUGUAGAAAAUUUAUCAGAGCUUACUGUGCAAAAAAUUUCAACAUUUUAUAACAUUCUGACUUUUCUAGGGAAUUUUAGCAACAGUGGUAAACUUUCUGUUUUGAAACAGCAACAUGUAUACUUGCAAAAUAAGCAUGGUGAAGGCUAUCAUUGACAUUUUUAUUGAAAUGAAAGAUGCAAAACAUUAUUCUAAAUAACAAAAAGCAAACCAAAACAAAAUAAAAUGAUGCUCCAAGCAAAACUCAUAUCAUGUGACGAAUAAAAAUAUAGCCUUAAGUGAGGUUACCGAUAAUGUUGAAGACUAAAGAGGGGAUGCCUUUCGGGGCAUCCCCAAGCUUAGUUGCUCGGAUCUUCCUUGGAUAUUAACUUGGGGGUGACUUCGGCAUCCCCAAGCUUAGGGUCUUAUCACUCCUUAUUCUCCUCAUAUCGAUAUCUCAUCCAAAACUUCAAAACUUCAAUCACACAAAACUUAACGGAACUUCGUGAGAUAGGUUAGUAUGAUAAAGAGCAAACCAUUCACUUUGGUACUGUCAAAGACAAGAUUCAUAAUUGUUCUCACACAAUGCCUACUGUAGCAUAUCAUUUCCAUAAUUUAUAUUGAGCAAUAUAAGCCAUAGAAACUAGAAAACAAGCAAACUAUGCAUGGAAAACAGAAUCUGUCAAAAACAGAACAAUCUGUAGUAAUCUGUACUCAAACCAUACUUCUGCUACUCCAAAAAUUCUGAAUAACUAGGACAACGUAGGAAAUUUGUAUAUCUAUCUUCUGUAAAAAAAUCAGAAUUUUUCCACGUUCCAGUAAAAUAUAAGAAUUUCUGCACUGGAUGCAAAAGUUUCUGUUUUUGCACAGAAUCAAGUCAACUAUCAUCCACACUAUCCCAAAGGCUUUACUUGCACUUUAUUGAAACAAAAGCUAUAAAACAUGAUUACUACAGUAUCAUAAUCAUGUGAACACACAAAAACAGUAGGUAAAAGUGUUGGGUUGUCUCCCAACAAGCGCUUUUCUUUUAUGCCUUUUAGCUAGGCAUGAUGAUUUUAAUGAUGCUCACAUAAAAGUAAAGAAUUGAAACACAAUGGGAGCAUCAUGAAACACAUGGCAAUCACAUUUAAGCCUAACCCACUUCCUAUGCAUAGGGAUUUCGUGAGCAAACAAUCUACGGGAGCAAAAAUCAACUAGCAUAGAAAGGCAAAACAAGCAUAACUUCAAUAUUUUCAACACAUAGAGAGGAAACUCGAUAUUAUUGCAAUACCUACAAGAAAAUGUUCCUCUCUCAUAAUAAUUUUCAGUAGCAUCAUGAAUGAAUUCAACAAUAUAGUUAUCAAAUAAAUCAUUCUUUUCAUGAUGUAUAAGCAUAGAAAAUUUGUUACUCUCCACAUAAGCAAAUUUAUUCUCAUCAAUAGUAGUGGGAGCAAACUGAACAAAAUAACUAUCAUGGGAGUGAAAAUUAAAAUCAUGAUGACAAGUUUCAUGGUUAUCAUUAUUCUUUAUAGCAUACAUGUCAUCACCAUAAUCAUCAUAGAUAGCAACUUUGUUAUCAUAGUCAAUUCAAGCCUCAUCCAAAAUGGUGGAUUCAUCACUAAAUAAAGUCAUGACCUCUCCGAAUCCACUUUCAUCAUUAUAAUCAUCAUAAAUAGGAGGCAUGCAAUCAUUAUAACAAAUUUGCAUAUCAAAUCUUGGGGGACUAAAAAUAUCAUCUUCAUCAAAUAUAGCAUCCCCAAGUGUAUGGCUUUGCAUAUCGUUAGCAUCAUGGAUAUUCAAAGAGUUCAUACCAACAACUUUGCAAUCAUGCUCAUCAUUUAUACCAAACAUUAUAUUGAAUUUUUUUUCUAUCAAUUGAACACAAUUUUCCUUUCCAUCAUUUUCAUGAAAGACAUUAUAAAGAUGAAUAAUAUGAUGCAACCUCAAUUUCCUUUUUUUAUAGUUUUCUUUUACGAACCAAACUAGUGAUAAAACAAGAAACUAAAAGAUUCGAUUGCAACAUCUAAAGAUAUACCUUCAAGCACUCACCUCCCCCACAACGGCGCCAGAAAAGUGCUUCGUUGACGAGGUGUGAGUCACGCUUACCUAGCCUCCCCGGCAACGGCGCCAGAAAAGAGCUUGAUGUCUACUACGCAACUUUAUUCUUGUAGACACGUGUUGGGCCUCCAAGCGCAGAAAAUACUGUUGAAUAGUGAUGUUUUUGUUUGAGAGACACCAUAAGCAUGGGACGGCCUCACUCCUUUGCUUGUCCGCCGCUGCAGUGACUUCACCAUUAUGCUAGUCUGCCGCUGUCUAUCAGACUUUCUCGUUGGCCCCAUCCCCAUGUAUAUUCCACCUCACUCGCAACCGUGUGAGGCGUUGCCGCCAUGAAAGCUGGCAAAAUGGACAAAAAUAACCCAAAGGCAAAAGUAAGUUAAAUUAGAAAAUAAACUCUCAGCAAAACUAUUUCACAGAAAUAACCCUUUCAGGCAGCGUCCAACGCGUAUGCGCUAUGCCCCACAGUGUAGUUCCUAACGCGUAGGCGCCACUUGAAAGGGGUUAGAUUUGCGAAAUACUUUUGUCAAGAGUUUAUUUUUUAAAUUUGUUUCGUCUUUGGAUUAUUUUUGUCCAUUUUGCCAUGAAAACCUAGCUGCCGCAUUGGGGAAAUAUCUGGUACUCCCACCCCUAGGAUGCUCCCAGGGCUCCAAAACUCUGUAGCACAUUGACGCAACAUCAAAGUAUGUUGUCAAAAAAUUUAAAACGUAGCUUGAGAAACAUAAAUGAAAAUUUUGACAGUAAAUAGUAUGCAAUUUAUGUUGGGCUUUAGAUUAGGCCCAUUAUUACUGAUGUCCAUUUUGUCAUUUUUGUAUCUCGAGCAAUGUUUUAAAUUUUGAUUUGAAUUUUUCUAACAUCAUACAUUGAUGUUGUGCAAUGUGCUGGAUUUUUUUCAGAAUAUUUUACCAUUUUAAAAUGUGCUACCGAGUUUGGAGCACCGGGAACACCCUAGAGAUGGAAGUACUAGAUAUUUCCCCGUGCCGCAUUGGUGACGGCAGAUUAGUGGUGCAUCCGGAGAUGACCAUUGUUUGUGGAUCUGGCGGUGACGGUAUCGGUAUUGUGCCGGUGGCGCUGGACAUGGCGGCGGACAUGUUUCGCAUCACAAAGAUUAUGAAAUUAUAAAGGGCUUGCACUUCGGGUACCUCGGAACAAAUGACGACGGAAAUUAGAUAAAGGGUAACUGUCGUGCACAGUUUUAAUCCGUCUGUAUAAUUUUUUCUAACUCGCCAAGCGAGGCCUUAAUCUCGCCGCUUUGUCGGUUCCAUCCACAGAUAUAUACGGUAAGAAAGUAGGAAACGACACACCUGAUACGGACAGUCUGAACAGUUAGCCGCCGUGCCCAAGAAAGUAGGAAACCUACCUCGGAGUCUCAUUCGCUCGGAUGAUCAGAAAUGUCUGCACCUCGACUAUCGAAUUAUCGAUGGAAGCUCCAUGACAAAAUUUCAUUCACUAAAACAAGGAAGAAGCGGCUGUUUAAAACUAUUUACCGCACACGCAAACAGAAACUGUGAUGGAUGCACUACGGUUUAACCGCCCAACUAACCAUCUUUGGGUUACAAAACCGAGGAAACGAGGCUGAGUUAACAUCCCCAGUUUAACCAACAUGCAUAGCAAUUGCUGUUCGUCGGGCUCUAUAUAAACACGAUGGAUCAACCAAUAUCCUCACAACCACAAAUAUAAUUGCAGCUGAUUUGCAAGCAGCCUGACAGACAUGGCUAACAUGAAGCUACUAGCCGUGCUUGCUCUCGUGCAGCUCCUGUCACGCCUCCACGUCCAUCGCGUCUCCGCGUCCGUGGACAUGCCGACAGCGACCAGCGGCGGCAGCUGCCACGUUAGUGGAUACCUGCCGGGCCAAUCCGGCAACUGCAACCCGGAUCACGGCUCCACCUGCUGCGUCAACGGACACCGGUACCCGCAGUACAAGUGCUCGCCCCCUGUGUUGGCUGAGACCCCGGCGAUCCUGACUAUAAACAGCUUCGAAGAAGGUGGAGAUGGGGGCGGCAAAUCAUUCUGCGACAACCGCUACCACAAGGACAGCGAGCUGGUGGUGGCGCUGUCCACGGGAUGGCUCCGCCUGGACGGCACGAACAGGUGCAACAAGAUGAUCCGUAUCAAUGGGAACGGGCAGUCCGUGACGGCCAAGGUCGUUGACGAGUGCGACUCGGUGUACGGCUGCGACAAGGAGCACAACUUCGAGCCGCCGUGCCCAAACAACGACGUGGACGCGUCGCCGGCCGUUUGGAAGGCUCUGGGCCUCAACGGGAACAUUGGAGAGUUCAAGGUCACUUGGUCUGAUGUGUGAGCACAAAUAUGUACGGGACAGUUCGCUCCUUAGUCCUCACUUGUUAUAUUAUAUGCAGCUGCCGUAGGGGUGUGUGCGCGCGCGCAGUGCUACCGUUGGUGGCGCGGAGUUGCUGCUAUUUAAAUAAGUCACUGUUCACAUGUACUCGUAUUUGCUAUUUUCCCAAGUUUAUGUAUUUGCCUUGUUUGGGUGAUAUAUUUUGCUCCUUCCAUUCACAAAUAUAAGCUGUUUUCAGAUAUUUCAUUCAGUAUAGAAUACAUACAGAUUAAAAUGAAUGAAUAAACACACUAAAAUGUGUCUACAUACAUCUGAUUCAGAAAAAAAUAUAUUAAAACAUCUUAUACUCAUUAAUUGGCCCUUAAACCCUCCACCUCCAUCGACGGGUUUCACACCCUAAGUGGCUAAAAGUUAGUAGAGGGCUUCGUCUUCAUUGACAUGCAUUAUACUAAUGAUAGUCAUGUGUUUCUAGGGCAUAGUUUUAAAUACCGAACCAUGCAAAAUAGUGUUCAGCUCUUCAAAUAAGCUAUAGCCGGCUAUUUCAUAAUUUUAUUAGACAAUUGUACAUAAAUCCAGUUAGCGGUAGCGUGCUCAAACUGCUACAGCGGGCUAUAUCCAGCUAUUUAAAACUCUGAUCACCGGUGAGUUUCUAGGUAUUAAGAAAAUAGAAUAUUUCCAAAACUAUACAUUAAGAAAAAGUGAAAAAUAAAAAAUAUGUUAAAAACCAUAAAAGAAAAACGAACAAAAAAUAAAAUGGAAAAAGAACAAUAAAGGCAAAAAGAAUAAGAAAAGCCUCGAACUCUCGCAUAGGUCGGCCAAGGCACGCAGACCCCUGCACACGUAGUAAACACUAGCACCGAAGACAUGCGGCGCACACCGCGCCCGUGACUUAUUCGAAAGAUGUUUUCAUAUUCUGCACCCAUGCAUGGUGGGAGGGGAUCAUAUUUUGCACCAGAAAACAAAAGAAGCCAGGAAUAAGAAUAGUUAGAAAACAUAAAAAAAAAAGCUGGCUGCAAUCCCUUCGAUGGUCCAUAUUUUGGCUGUGUUCGGCAGCCCUCCACUCCUCGGUCACCGAGCGGAGCGGGCGGAGCAUCCUUUUAGCCGCUCCAUAAAUUAGAACUAGCUGC
rnacentral:lncRNA from 1 species